UUUUUUUUUUUUUUUUGUUCUCCACAUGUUAUAAGAUGUUUCUAAUUAAAAUUGUAGUUCACAAAAUAUUCUAACAUGUUAAUCUUUUAUUAAAAAAGAAAAGAAAAAAGAUAUUGAUACCUUCCAUGAUUUUGAUUAUAGAGUGGUCGUGAAGACCUUCUUAUUUUCAUAAAUGGUCAUGCAAAUCUCUGUUUAGGAUGUAUAACCCUGUUUUGUGUUUCAAACUAGUAAAGCAGACCUCCUUAUGGGUUGUAGGUCUGAAAAGAGUAUGUGCGACCAAUUUUAAAAAUAAUGGGGUUUCCAUGACUACUUUGUCAAACCACGAGAUGUUCAUAUUUUUUUCCUAAAGAAAUAUAUACAAGGGCUGAAAAACACAUACCUGGAGCAGCAUAUCCAAAUGUGCCUACAAAUUCAGUCCGGUUGGAUGAGUAUGGCUCGACAAACUUGGCAAUUCCAAAAUCUGAGACAUGGGCUUCAAAUUCUAAAUCAAGCAACACAUUCUUACUUGAUAUGUCUCGAUGAAUAAUCGAUGGGAGACAAUCAUGAUGCAAGUAGGACAAAGCAUUAGCUACUCCUUUAAUCACAUUUAUUCUCCGAUUCCAGCUCAAUUCUUUUGCUGUUGCAUCAUUACCAAGGAUUCUAGCCAAGCUACCCCUAUGAAGAUAUUCACAAACUAAAAAUGAGUGUCGGGCGUUAGAACAAAAUCCAUGAAAUUUUACAAUAUUUCGAUGUCGUAUCUCAUUCAAUGCCAAAACUACAUUCAAGAAUUCAUCCUGAUCGGCCAUAUUACCGGAAAGCAAUUGCGAGUUGAAUUUUUUAACUGCUACGAUAUCCCCAGAGGGUAGCUCAGCUUUAUACACACUUCCUUGUCCACCUUUUCCAAUGCAAAACUUCUCAUCAAAAUCAUCUGUUGCUUUAAUGAUUUCUUCGUGCAUAAUUUUCCCGUCAAAAUUUAAUACCGAAAGCAAUCUCAAAGGAUUCAUAGAGAUAGUUUGUUCUUCUUGUGAGUCCUUCUUCCUUUGUCGAAAAAAGAAGAAGAAUCCAAUCAAACUAAUCAAAAGCAAAACCAUUCCUAGGAUAGGGAACACAAUUACAAUCCAUUUCUUUCUCGAAGUUUGUUUGUGAGACAUGAAAGCAUCACAAGAUGAAAACGCCUCAAAAUUGCCACACAAUCCUUUAUUCCCUUCCAUUAAACCGUCUUUGAACACUGUGCUAUUAGGAAUUGGUCCCUGUAACUCAUUAUAGCAUAUGUCAAUGCAUGACAAGCUGCGCAUUUUUUCAAAGCAUCUUGGAAUGAAACCAGAGAGGUUAUUGUGGGAGAGAUUCAGCUUCUCCAGGCUUUCCAUAUUACAGACUUGAGGUGGUAUCUCUUCCUGGAGAAUGUUAUGACUCAAAUCUAACUUUGAAAGAUGAAUCAACUUCUCAAAUUCAAUUGGAAUUGUAUGGCUAAAUUGAUUGUUGCUCAGAUUCAAGUAGUAAAGCUUCAACAAGUUGCCUAUACUUUUUGGAAUCGAGCUGCUCAAUUUGUUUGCAGACAAAUCGAGGUAUUGAAGUUCAGUUAAUGAGCCAAAUUCUAGAGGCACACUUCCAGAGAGUUGAUUCAAACUCAGAAUUAGUUUGUUUAGAGAAAAUAACUUUUCCAAUUGCACUGGAAUUUUACCAACAAUGUGAUUUGAAGAAAGAUCAAGAAAUUGUAAUUUGGAUGAGUCUCCAAUCUCAAGCGGUAUGCUCCCAAAAAUAUUAUUCAUGGAAACAAUGAAGGUAUCUAAUUUUGGAAGAUUUCUCCAAUUAAAUGAGAUUUUACCAUCAAAAUUAUUUUGGCUAAGAUCCAGGAAAGUUAGAUUUGGAUGAUCACCAAAAGCUUCAUACACUUUUCCAACAAGAUUGUUUUGAUUAAAGCGUACUCUCUUUAGGCUUGUCAAACUUUUCAAACUUUUAGGGAUUGGACCAAAAAGAUGGUUUUCACACAUGUUUAAUAAAACCAACCCAGUGAGAUUACCAACUGAAUGAGGAAUAACCCCACUAAGAUUAUUUUUGCAGAGCUUUAAUUCAGAAAGAGACUUCAAGUAUCCUAUUUCCUCAGGAAUAGAACCGUAAAGCCCAUUGUUGAAAAGGGAUAAAUUUCUUAGAGAGCUAAGAUUACCAAUUGAAGGAGGAAUGACACCAUUGAGUUGAUUUAGGUACAACCCCAGUGUCGAAAGAGACUUCAAGUUUCCUAGAAUGGGAGGGAUGGAACCAGAAAGUGAAUUACUAAAAAGAGACAUUAGAGUCCAGCUGCUUAAAUUACCAAAGGAAAGGGGGAUUGAACCACUGAGUUGAUUUUCAAUCAAGUCUAGUUGGUGAAGAGACUUCAAGUUUCCUAUAAUCGAAGGAAUAGAACCAGAAAGUGAAUUUUUAUAAAGAAACAAGGUGUCCAAGUUACUUAAGUUAUCUAAAGUACAUGGAAUCAAACCAUUGAGUUGAUUUUGGCUCAAAUCUAGAGUUGAAAGAGACUUCAAGUUUCCCAUAACAGUAGGAAUAUAGCCAAAAAGGGAGUUAUUAUUAAGAUACAAAAGAGCCAAUUUGCUUAAGUUACCCAAAGACGAAGGGAUCCUACCAGAAACAUUGUUAUGACAAAAGGAAAACUCAUGAAUAAGACUUAACUGACCUAUUACUGGUGGAAUUGUGCCAUGCAACUGAUUCAUGUCAAGGUAAAGUCUCCUCAACUGAUUUAGCUUGCCAAUUUCUGGUGAUAUUACCCCAGAUAAUUGAUUAUUGCCAAGAUCAAGAUUCUGAAGCUUGGAGAGGUUACCGAUUUGAGGGGGGAUGUUUCCGAAGAAUAAAUUGAAGCUUAGGUUAAGAUUCACAAGAUGAGGAAAUGAUGAGAAUGAAAAAUCCUGAAACGUACCAUUUAAACACAAAGUGCUUAGGUUUAUACUGAUGACUCUGCUUCCUGCAUGGUUACAAGAAAUUCCAAACCAAGAACAUGGGCUUAUUUUGGAUGCAUUAGUAGGAUAAAGUGUCCAUGAUGACAACAAAGAGGAGUUAAGGUUUUGAUUUUGAAGGCUUGUUUUCCAGUUGAGAAGAGCACACGCUUCUGCACUAGAAUCAGAAGUCACGUUAUGUGAAAAAUUUAACAAAAGAAAUAGGAUCAGAAUAAUGAAGAUUGGCAAUCUCAUGUUGUUUAUGUUAUUGUCUUUUGCAUGCAUAUCAUGAACGAGAACUUGACAUAUAUAUACACACAUACACACACCAGCAACCGAGACUCCAGGAAGACUUUUAAUUCCUUAGUAUGAGUUUAACGUAGGAAUAUCUUUCGAAAUUGUUGACCAGAAAAAUGCUGGAAAGAAGAAAUACAUUUAAGUCGAGAAUGACUGUCUUUUGAAUCUUUCCAACGCUUCAUGAGAAAAUUUCCAACAGGUUGGGGCUAAGUAAUUUAUCGAAUUAUUAACAUUAGAAUGUUGGUUCCAAGUUAAAUUUAUAAGAUAAUAUCUUAUGCAUUAAUUUAAAUUUAUAAGAGAAUAAUCCUACUUAGACAGAAAAAUUAAACAGAAGGAAAGCAAAGUUAUUAAUUUUUACACCACACAGGUAAAAGAGAAAAAGAUAAAAUAAUCAAUUAACAUAAUAACGCCAUAUGGUGUUACAGUUCUCCAUGUCUCCCUUUUGUAUCUUUAACAAUUUUUCUUUAUAAGAUAAUUCUUUCUUUAUGUUCUAAUUCUUUCUAGAAUUUAUCCUCUCUUUAUUUUAGUGCUUCGCAUAUAUAUGUUGAAGGGUAAAGUUCACUCUUCCCUACCAACUAGGUUUAUUUUUUAUUUCUUUUAAUUAAUAAACUCCUCUCAUACCGUCAGGGAUCAUCAAAAAAAAAUUUAUAAGAUAACAUGCUAUGGAAAAAUAUUUGUUGUUUUACGUAGGCACCACUUAGUGACAAAUAUUUCUGGAAAUAUAUGCAACUAGCUAGGCUCCCAGUCUCAGAAGAAUGAUUAAGAAAAUCAUAAGCUGUAAAAUGCAGGCAGAUCCAAAGGCAUUCAUUUACGUAUUGGCUGUGGCAUUGAAUAAAAAUAUUUUUCCCCGUCAAGUUUUAGUCUAGCUUGAUUAAUCUCUAUCAAAACUGCGGAAAAGGGGAAUAGUCCACAACGUCAUUAGCACGAGUACGACUGUGAUAUACUCGGAGAUUUUCGUUCUAAAUUUAUUUAUUUUUGAAAAUAAGAAGAACUCGUCUGAAUACACAGCAUGAUCAAUCAAUCACGAUUGCAUGUCCACUUUCUUGUCAAGCCUUAUAAGAAGGAUUGAGGAAGAAAUUAAUUUACCACGUCUUAUAACCUUAACCUGGAUCAAAUGAAGAAUUAAUUUUUAAGAAAUUAGAUCUGUAAAUAUAUAACCCAUAAUUAAUUUUUGAUGAUAUAUGUCUAUUUACUUUUUAUAAAUUGCUAUUAAUAUUCAUGGACUUUAUAGUCAAUGAUUAUGGUUUUCAAUUUGGAGUACAGCUUCGUUUAGUAAUAAAGCUUAUUUUUUACGAGAAGAGCUUUUGUUAAAAAGAAGCUUAAUUGAUUGGUUGGUUGUCGAUGAGAGUUUUUAUCAAAAAUUGUAAAGUUACUUUAAUAAACAAGUAUUUUAAAGUUAUGUUAUGAAAUGUGUGAAAUAAUGUUAAAGCAUUUUAGAUAAUUUAAAUUUUAAAAAAAAAAACACUGCAAUCUCUAUUCCCAAAGGUUUAAAAUUUGAGUUUUCACUAGUAAAGACAAAAUAACUUAUUUAAUCACCAAAAGUUCUACUUAAAAACACAACCAAACAAUAUGAAAAUUAUUUUUUUAAAAAAAAUUAAGAAUCAAAUAAAUACUUUUAGUUAUUAAAUAAGUCGUACCAAACAAAAAUUAAGACACGUCUUAGGUCCUCAUUCCUUUUUGCUCUUGACAUUCAUGGACUUUCUAGUCAGUGAUUAUUUUUUUCCAUAUAGAACACUUAUGUCCUAUUAUUCAUGGACUUUUUACACUCUUCUUUGGAAUAUUCAUGUAAAAUAAUUCAAUAUACGGUAUAGCUACAUAAUUAUGAAACUAUUAGGGGACUUGUAAUUAAAAAUCCCUCUGGGGGACCAGAGUUGCUCCGAUUUUUUUUCUCAUUAGAGGAAAGAAAUGUUUGGUUGAGCAUUUCUGUGUUGAAAAGGAAAUUCCGAACGGAAGUUAAUUAUAGGUAGAAAGCCAAGUUCUCAGAAAUGGGCCAAAAGAAUUGGAAUAAAAAUUAAAGUUGAAUGAGAAUCAAACAACAGGUCGUAGUUCUAAUAGAAUAUAUAUUUGUGUGUUAUUGGAAAAUAAAUAAUAUUUAUAAUCUUAUUUGUCCCACGUGCAGUGAUGCGUCUUAUUUAUGUAUUGAUUUUUUAAAAAAUUAUGAUUAGUAAUUAUUGAAUAAAAAUAUAUUGAUAAUUAAAUUUUAACUGUGUAUUGAGAGCCUGUAUUUUUGCAUAACCUUAAACAAACACAUACUGCCAAUCAUAGUAAUUUUUUUCAUUAAUUUUUUUCUCCAAAGAGAGUCUUUUAACGUAUCUGGCUUCUAAUUUCUAUAGCUUCCACAGGCUACCAUGAACAAUAGAAAUUUAGCUAGUAGUUGCCUUUGAUGUGAUGUUGAGAACGGAAAAAUCAGAGAUGUGAAAUGCAGCGUUUUAGGGUUGAUUUUGAUCACUUGAAUAAGGAUGCGAUGGUAUCCGCAAACCUACCCAAACUUGUCCGCCAAAACCCGUCCACUACAAAUAAUUUUGUGCAUUGUGGAAGGGUUUGGUAGUAUAAAUUGAAAUCCGCACUAGGUGCCAAGUGGGUUUGGUAUUAGUCAAAUAUUCGAAGGAUACCCGCAUGUGUAUAUGCUAAGCUGUAGGUUUUUCUAAAUAUUUUUAAUUUAAUUUUAAUAGAAAAAUAUUUAAAUCUAAAAACAUAUAAAGUAAAUAAUGUAAAGUACAAAUGUGUGUGCAAGUCGCAACAUGCCUAAUAGGCUUUAACUUAAUGCAUUGACUAUUAUAUGCUUAUUAUAAUUUUGUAUGAACUAUUAUUCUUUAACUUAAUGCACGGAUUAUUUAAUUAUUAUAAUUUUAUUUUUUGAAUUAGUAUUUAAAAAGUAUUAUUCUUUAGAAAAUAUGAAUCUUAAUCAUUAUUGUACAAAUCGUGUUGGAUGGAUGCUAAUGGUGGUGAAUGAAAUGAAGAUAUUCUCUUAAAACUUAUGUUAAAUGAUAACACGAAAUGAUAAUUGUUAUUUUUAGAUACUAAUUUGUGGUUUUUUUUAUAGAUUCAUGUAUUUUAUAUUUAAGUUUGAGAAUUUGCGUUGGAUUGAUGUUGAAAUUUUAAUUUUCCAUUUACAUUAGUUAAAAUUAGAAUUGAGUAUGUUAUGUGAAAUUUUAGGUCAUUAUUAUAAAUUUACAUAUUGAACAUUUAUGAUUUUAAAUAUGAAAACCUGCAAAAAAAUCCAACGAGUAGCAUUACGAUUUUGGUAAUUAUUAAAACCUGCAGCAGGUGGGCUUUCUUAAAAAAAUUGAAACUCGCAGCGGAUUGCAGGUGGGUUUGGUAAUUCAAAUUUUAUGCGAAUUUGAACUACUCUUUAAACAUUAAAUUAUAUUGUUUAGACACCUAGACCGGGCUUAAAAAGUCCAGCACUUGGCGAGGUUUUUUAAUUUGCAUUUUCUUGCCCGGAUUUUAUAUUUUAUAAUUUUAUACGGUACAGCAGUAAUUUUAUAUAUGUAUAUAUUUUUUAUUUUUUAAGUUUAUUUUAAUAAAAUUGAACAUUAAAAUAUGAAUUUUAAAUGUUUAAAAUUUUACCUAUAUAUAAUAGAUGGAUCAAAUAAAUAUAAUUAUUUGUAAUAAUAUAUAUAUUAUAAUUUUUUAAUAAAAUUCGGAUUUUGGGUCAAAUCUCAAGCUUUUGUCUGGGCUGGCCUAGAUGAUACUCGAACCCCAUUGCUUGGAUCCGGACAGAGCGGGUAUUUUUGACACCCCAAAUUUGGACUCAAGAAAAUUGCAGCUCAAAGCUCUUUUGUUUGCUUUACCAUUUUUAGAUUUUAUUUUAAAAUGUAGAAGAACUUUAACCUCAAACAGUCAUCUAAAAUAAAAUUACUUGAAACAUUCGAUUAAGCCUUGAGAACUCAUUCUCUUCAACUAAAAUGAUAACUAAUAAUUAUUAAAGAUGCAAUUGAAAAUGCUUUUAACAUGUUAAAUUGCUUUCAAACUGUUUAUAAAUGCUUAUGUUAGUUACAGUGAUUAAUUGCAAAUGCUUUUAACAUGUUAACAUGCAUUUUGAGUAAAGUGUUUUCAGAUUAAAAACAGCACUUUAAAUACUUCAAAAAGUAUUUCACGAGAUCUAUUUUCCAUUUUUUCUUCCGAUUGAAAAAUGCACUUUACGUGCGAGCGUAUGUUGUAAAUAUGAGCAAUUUAAGAGAUCUAGGUAGUGUUUGAUUUGAAGAAAAUUAAGGAAAAGAGAGGAGAGGAAAGUGGAAGAAAGGAGAGGAGAGUAUAUUGAAAUUCUUUUCUAAUGUUUGAUUUAUUAUAAAAUUAUACAAAGAAAUGAAAUACCUUAACUUUAAUUUGGACAAUUUCACCCUUUAGUGUUAAAUUUUUGAUAUUUAUCAUAAAUAUAAUUUCACCGCGUCUUGCCACCGGCCACCACUGUACCAUGUCAUUUCAACUCAAGAAUUAUAUGAAAAUUAUCAGAAUUUGUUAAUCUAUAGAUUGAAACAACUUAUUUAGUCGAAAUAUUUGAUGUUUGUCCGGAUAUGAGAUAGUUAGAAAAUUUUCAAAUUCUACUAACCGGACUUUAGGAAGAUAGAUUCAUUUUUUCACUUGUGUGACAUUAAAACUGUGUUUAUCAUCAACUGGCGACUCCAAAAGUACAGGCGGUGGUGUCUUAUGCGCGGUUGUUAGCGACGGAGGUGACCGUCCGGCGAUUGCUAAAUUUAUAUUUCUAUUUUAAAAAUUAAUUAAAUAAAUGAAAUAAUUUUAUUAAAUUAUUUAAAUCAUUGCUUUAACUUUUACUACUACAAAAUUAAUUAUUUAAAAUAUUAAAUUGAUAAAAUAAAAUUGUAAAUAAUAAUAAUUUGAUAAUAUUAAACAAGUUAAUACAAUUUGAAGGGUAAUUUUAGAUAUUUUAGCUUCUAAUAAAGGAGAAAUCAAAUUCGUUACUCUUUGGUGUGGAAUCUAAAUUCCACAUUAUGAUGUAUAUUAAAUUAUAAUAGAAAUUAAAUUCUUAUAAAUUAUGGUAAAUCAAACAAAGAAAAUAAGAAAAAAAUUUAAAUUACUUUCAUUUCCCCCUUCCUCUCCUUCCAACCAAACACCACCUAAGUGUCAUUCUCUCUUUAUUUUUAUUUUUAUUUUUGAGAAGGUUCUCUCUUUAGUUGAAUCAAGUAACGAUGAUGAUGAUUUUGUAGAAAUAGCAUUAUGGGCCCCAGCACAUUGCAGCCCAAAGUCCAAUUCAGAAGCCCAAGUGGAGAGGCCCAAUAUUGUGCCAUUACCCACUCUUAUAGUCUUAUUGAAGAAACUUUUCAGAUCAGCUAUGUCAAAUGUCAAUAACCACCUCGUUGACGAAGAAAACGUGAACCAUUGGAUUUUUUAGGACAAACUCUUGAUGGUUAGGCAUAAUUUUAGUAAUGGAAAAUGAGAUUCAUCCCACGCUGAGCACUAACCGUUUUGUGCUAACUAUAAAACAAGUUACUGUUGCUUCAAAACACACACACUCGCCUCACAACUCUCGUGCAAACUCACAAAACGCAUCGUGGGAUUGCUCUACCGCCAACGCUCUCUCUCUCUCUCUCGCGCCGUGGGUCUCUCCACAUCCGGCCUCUCACGCAUCUCACUGCUCACUCCUUCGGCUUUCUCUCUCUCUCGCCGUGGGUCUCUCCACAUUUGAUCGUUGGCUCUCUCUCUCUGCCCCGUCGACAGCUGUAGCUUCAGUCUCUCGGCUUCACUUGUCGUCGCCCGCCGUAACCGAUUCGUGGAGGUAAUUGGUUUUAUUAAUGCCCAAUUUUGGUUGUGCUAAUUACGAAUAUGUGAAGAUUCAAUUGCGAAGUCAAAUUGUGUUGAUAAUUGCUGUAAGAACUUGCUAUUGGAAAUUAGCAAAAUGUUGUUCUGUUGUGAGUUAUAAGCUGCUGAUCCGUUGGGGGAAAACCAGGCAAUGAAACAAGAUUCAGGCGACAGCCCAGUUUCAGAUUUGGAAAUUGGUUUUGACGGACUUAAAUGGGCAUAAUCAUGAGAUGCUGACGGUUCAAUCCAAAGACUCUCUCACGAUCAGCCAUGCGAAGACAUGGUGAGAGUGAUACAGCCGGCAGUGGACCACCAAAUCUCAAUGUCGAGGCUUCCGCUUUCCGGUCAUUUUAGGGUCAUAAAAAUGGGUAUUUUAACAAUUACCAUGGCCGGUUUUUCAUUCUCUUCUUUAUAAUGGUGAACAUACUGCAUUUUUUACCUUGUGAACAUACUGCAGCCCCCGCCGUGAUUUAAGUAAUCUGGAAUUGGGGUUCUGGGGAAUUAUAUCGGCAAUUACAUUUUGUGAACAUAUUGCAUUUUUUGGAGUAUUCAAAUAUGUGAAGAUAGCUCAUUGUGCAGAAGUGAAGAAGAAGAGUCAGCGUGUCAAGUUACCAGCUGUCAUUAGUGCCACGUCAGAAGGUCCACGUCAGCAGCAGUUACCAGCCUAACUAACUUCACAAUGCAUACUCUGUAUUCUGUUAUUGAUUAGCUGAGUGAGCUUGUGAUUAAUAAUCAGUUAGUAAGCAAUUAGUUAGUAAGUGUAGCAUGUAUAAAUAGCUGCACGUUUCGUGAUUGGUUUUAUGUACAAAAAUAUCAAUUCAUUAACGAAAUAAAGAAUUUUUCCUCUGCAUUUUCUCAGCUGCCAAACAGCAGCAUUUAUUCAGUUUUACAAUUUCUUCAAAAUAAAGUAUUUUAAAAUUCGAUCCAGAACUUAUUUCUUAUAAUAAUUAAAAUUCCAAUCACGUUACAAAUUAACAAAAUUUUAAAUAUUGAAUAAAACUCCAUCUAAUGUUUAAUCAUUUCUUUCACUCGCCGAAAGCGAAGAGGAAGAACAAACGCAGAAACAAAAAUCAAACAGAAACACAACCCAAGCGAUUUUAAGUCAUGAGGCGUAAUCUUCAUUGCAAGGGCAAAAUCGUCAGACAACUUAUGUCAAACAAACUUUCCACAGCGAGUCUCUCUCUCCUCAGCGUUUGCGUUUCAGUAACACGAGUGUGUGUGUGGUCUGCGCUUGCGUUUGAGCAAGACGAGUGCGUGUGUUUUGAAGCUACAAUAACUCUAUUAUAGUUAGCACAAACGAACCGUUUUGUGCUAACUAUGGUCCUAAAUGGUGUGAGCAUAUAGGUGUUGUUUUUAUAAAGAACCUAAGUGUGAUUUUCCUUUAAAAUUAAUUUCACAAAUAAUUAACAGAGGAACAAAGGGCCGUCCUUACUCCUUAGCCACUAUUACAACACUAGCUGUAAGUUUUAAUACAAAGCCAAUUACAUAUAACCACGUGUCGCUCUCAGCUCAAGCAAAUCAGUCUCCGUACGAGAAUGUCUGUCCUGUCCUGAAAACAUACCAAAACAAACAUUGGUUCUUCAUAUACCCUCAUUCGCUUUAACAAAAGACAACUUUACGCUCAUCACAAUUUUGGCUUUCAUGCGGUAGCAAAUUAGUAAUUCUACAAUUCCUCUAAGGCUAAAAACGUAAUCAAGGAGUUCUUCUGUUGCUAUAAAGAGAGUGGUUUCAGGUUAACAUUUUAGUGAGACCUCUCUUUGUGUCUGUUUACAAAACAAAAAUGACUGCUUUGAAGUCGGCUUUGAGAGCCAAAAAAAUGGACGCUUUUGUGCUCAUUUUGAUGCUUGUUUUGUUGCCAUUAGUCCACUCCUCUAGUUAAGCAAGCAAAAAUGCCUCUCUCUUUUUCUUCUUCUUCUUCCUUUUUUUUUUUAAUUCUUAAUCUCUUUUUGAAAAAUAAAAAUACUAACUUUGUUUCUUAUUCUUGGCAUUUUCAGGCUUGGAACACACAAGCACAGCCACUCAGGUAACAUAUUUUCACAACCCAUAUAUUAAAAAAAAAAAAAAACUUUUUUUAAACUUUUUUUUCUAUAAAAUGGGUAUGUUUGUUUUUAUUUAUUGGGUUUAUAUCUUUUGUUUCUGAGUAGGACUUUGAAGCAAAAGAUGGAGAUUCUUCAACAAAUUUCACCAAUGUUGUUGUAGAAGAUUCAGCAAGAGAAGUGCCAACAGGACCUGACCCUCUUCAUCACAAUAACAAUCCCGCUGGUCCUUGAAGCUAUAUCUAGCUAGCUUGCUUGCUCUCUCUCUUUUUAAUUAAUCUUGUGGCUCUUUAAUAUUGUGUAAAGUUUUUGUUCAUAAAAAAAUGGUUGCUUGCUAGCUCUUUUAAUUUUAUAAAAAUAUUAAUCUUUUUCUUUGCUUUUGUUCUAAAUAAAUUCUAGAAUGAUUGUUAUUUUUUUUCCUAUAUUGCCAAAAUUAACUAAUUACCCACAUGAUUAUUGAGAAAUUUUGGAUGAUGAUAUUGCAAUUUUUUUUGUUGUUGUCAUAUUUCUUUAUUUGUCUUAGAAUCAGACUGUACAAUUUGUGUUGUAUUGUAGUACAGCUCCCUACCUGGCCAAUUUUGUGUGUGUGCUGCUGAUGCUUUCUGAAACUGAAACAAUGCUGCGGCUUGCUGCUUUGUUUUGUUUUGCUUAUUUUUGUUGCCACGCUUUUUGCAGCAGCUUGCUUGAUAAAUAUAAAUAUGGCCAAAUUAUUCACAUUUUUAUUAUGAUAUGUCUCAUCUUAAGCAUCAUGUCAUGUUAAUUUGAACUCAUAAUUUGCAAUAAAAUUUUGAUUUCUCUAAACUUGGACUCCGUAAUCUGUUUCAUUGAAUUACUCUCUAUUUACUCUCUACUCAUAUAUAACCAAAACCUACCUUAUUGCCAUAUAAAAAAAAUGAAAAAUAAUUCAGAAAAUAUAGAUUAAUGUGUUUUUUUAAUUAAUUCAUACAUAUUCCAAGAUUGUAUUGAUUUUAUAAAACUGACAACAUAAGCCAAAAUGAUCAAACUGAAAUUGAAGGAAGAGAGACAGAGAAUGAGAAACAUUUAUAUCUUUUUGUAAAAUAUUAAAGUUUAUUAUGCCUAAAUAAACCACCUUAUUUCAGAUGCAACUAAUCGGAAAUCCAAUUUCCAGAAACAAGGAAAAAAAAAAAAGUUCAUAAGAUAGUUAAAACCUCAAAAACAACAAACACAGAGCUUUAAUUUUAUUCAUAAAUAUUAAAAUGGUGGAUUAAUUCACUUGCUCCUCUGUCUCCAUUUCUUGAUGCCUCCAUCACUUUGGAUUCUUAGGCCUUAGCUUGCUUCACCAGCUGAUAAUUUACAGAUAAAUAGAGCAAUUAUCAGAAUGUGUAUGAUUUAUAUAAUUAAUCACAUGAUUAAGAAAGAAUUAUUAAUUAAGUAAGUAAAUUAAUAACACAUCAAUAAUACCUCAAAGUAAGAGUCAAGCUUAGCCUUGAGAUUGCCCUGCUCCGUUUUCACUUGUUCAAAAGCUGCCUUUGCACUGUUUAUAUUUUAUAAGUUUGCUCUCAGUUAGUUAAUUUGCAUUUUUAUUUUAUAUUUGAAAUCUAGAAAAUCAAUAAAAUUAAGUAAUUAAUAAGAAAAUUAAUCACCCUUCGAUAUCCCCAUUUCUGCAACAUGCUAUCACCACAUUCACUUCAUUUUUCACUUUGUUGGCACCAACACUAAAAAUAUUCAAGUUAUAAAACUAACGUAAUAAUUAAUUGAAAUAAAUUACAAAAUAACACUAAAUUAUGUGAAUAUCAUAAAUUAGUAAAUAAAUUUAUUUCAAUAACAUGAAUAUUUAGACUAAUAUUUUUUUUUCUUAGUUACCUCGCACAGCUUCCUUUAAACCUGUGAAGGAUCCUCUCCAUUUCACUUCCCUCAAUGGGAUUUUUUCCCCUGUACAUAUAUGCAUUUAUAAAAAUACAAUAAUAAUAAUAAUAUUAUUAUUAUUAUUAGAGAAAUUGAUGAAUUUACUUACAAUAGAUCCUCAAUCAUAGGUAGCAGUUCGUUUGACUCCUCAAAAUACACAUUAAUUGUAACCUCAACAAAGUUAGGGUCCUCAUCAGAUGCCAACGCUAAACCUUCCAACUCAACAAAUUGCUCGUCGAGAAUUUCCUAUAGAAUAUAUAUAAUCAGCAAAAAGUAAUGAAAAUUAAUUAAUCUUUGAUCCCCAAAAAAAAAUAAAAUAAAAUAACCUCAUCUAAUAAGUGUUGCCUCAUUGAGGCAAUUUGUUGAUGCAGUGGAUUGCUUUCCAUUUUCGAACAGAAAAAAAAAAGGUGAAAUCAAGAAAUGAAAAAAAAAAAAGGUAAAAUUUUCUUCAACUAAAAGCAACUUUAAUUAAAAGCAAAGUACUCAAUGGGCAAGAAAUGGAAAAAUUUAGCAGCAAAAUUGCUUUGUGGAAAUCGAAGAAUAUAUACGCAAAAAGCAAAAAAUAACUCGUGAAGAUUGGAUUUCUCAUGACAAGAAUUUUCACAAUAAACAAAGUGGGCAAACAAUUCUUUUAUUUAUUUUUUCAUGAAAAUUACUUUGUGAUUUGUUUAAACACAGACUGCGCAUGAAGAUUAUGCUGAAGGUGAACUCUUCACAAAUAGUGUGAGGCACUAAAGGUGAAUGAAAGUAAAAUAUUUAGAAACUAGAUUAUUGUAUUUUGUUAAAAUUUAAUGCAAUUUGAUCUAAUCUUGAAAUUGGAAUCUAAUUCUAUCCAAUCAGUUUUCCUCUGAGUAUUGAAUAAAAUAUAUUGAAUCGUUGCUAAUAAUUGACGAAGUGAAAUCUGAAGAGGAAAAGAUAAAAAGUUUUCCAAUUGAAAAACUUUUAGGUUGGUUUGAUGAAUUAAAAAUGGAAAGAAUAGAUCUUAAUUAGUUUUAUUGUAAAAAUGAGAAAAUGUUUAUAAUCCUUUUAAAAUUGGGAAAUUUACAAAAAUAACCAUAAAAUUUUUGUUAUUUUCACAAUUAAUCCUCUCAACUUUUUUCUAUCAACAUUAGCCAAACACACGCUUUUCUCCCCAAAUUACCCUUCUGAACUUGAUCGAGAGUUUCGGAACUGCGAGUCAUGAGUGAAUUUGACGACAGACUGCCUGUCGCACGAAGGUUGGUGCGACAGAUUGCAUGUCGCACCAAAACUUAGAGCGACAGAUUGCAUGUCGCACCAAAACUUAGAGCGACAGAUUGCAUGUCGCACCAAAACUUAGAGCGACAGAUUGCAUGUCGCACCAAAACUUAGAAAAAAAAAAAGGUAAAAUUUUCUUCAACUAAAAGCAACUUUAAUUAAAAGCAAAGUACUCAAUGGGCAAGAAAUGGAAAAAUUUAGCAGCAAAAUUGCUUUGUGGAAAUCGAAGAAUAUAUACGCAAAAAGCAAAAAAUAACUCGUGAAGAUUGGAUUUCUCAUGACAAGAAUUUUCACAAUAAACAAAGUGGGCAAACAAUUCUUUUAUUUAUUUUUUCAUGAAAAUUACUUUGUGAUUUGUUUAAACACAGACUGCGCAUGAAGAUUAUGCUGAAGGUGAACUCUUCACAAAUAGUGUGAGGCACUAAAGGUGAAUGAAAGUAAAAUAUUUAGAAACUAGAUUAUUGUAUUUUGUUAAAAUUUAAUGCAAUUUGAUCUAAUCUUGAAAUUGGAAUCUAAUUCUAUCCAAUCAGUUUUCCUCUGAGUAUUGAAUAAAAUAUAUUGAAUCGUUGCUAAUAAUUGACGAAGUGAAAUCUGAAGAGGAAAAGAUAAAAAGUUUUCCAAUUGAAAAACUUUUAGGUUGGUUUGAUGAAUUAAAAAUGGAAAGAAUAGAUCUUAAUUAGUUUUAUUGUAAAAAUGAGAAAAUGUUUAUAAUCCUUUUAAAAUUGGGAAAUUUACAAAAAUAACCAUAAAAUUUUUGUUAUUUUCACAAUUAAUCCUCUCAACUUUUUUCUAUCAACAUUAGCCAAACACACGCUUUUCUCCCCAAAUUACCCUUCUGAACUUGAUCGAGAGUUUCGGAACUGCGAGUCAUGAGUGAAUUUGACGACAGACUGCCUGUCGCACGAAGGUUGGUGCGACAGAUUGCAUGUCGCACCAAAACUUAGAGCGACAGAUUGCAUGUCGCACCAAAACUUAGAGCGACAGGUGCCUGUCGCACGAAGCUUGGUGCGACAGACAAUUUUGGCCACGGUGUUGGUGCAAUAGGCUGGUGCGACAGGCAGCCUGUCGCACCAACAUUGUUUUCUGGAAUGCUUGCCUGUCGAUACCUCUCUAUCAUGCAGCAUCUCUUCUCUCUUCUCCUCCGACGUGUUUUGAAGAAUAUAUACGCGACUCACACAAAGUCAUGCGCUGGAAUGAUUCAGCAGGCGAAGAGGCUUUCAACGCCGCGAAGCGCCGGUACUGGGCAAAGAUCAAAGGGCUACCGUUCAAAAUACCUCUGCCAAGUCCGGACGAAUACAUUGAUCAAGUUAAAUGGAACGUCCCUAACUGUAGUAGUAGUAGUAGUAGCAGCAGCAGCAGCAGUAGUAAUGUUAUUGAUGAUGCUGAGGUUUUAGAUGGUUUGGAUGAAGCUGCAUGGGUGGAACGAGAACAAGAAGAAGAGAAUCAUGUGCUGCAGAAGAGUAGUUUCGAGGUUUCGUUUCAUCAGAUAAAGCCUACGGGUUGGGACGAUGAUUACGUCGGCCAUGAUCGGAGAUAUCAUUCGCUCACGGGGAUGAUGGUCGGAGAAUGAUUACAUACAUACAUAAUACAUACAUAUAUAUAUAUAUAUAUAUGCAUGUGUACAUGCAUGGUUGCUAAAAUAAUGGAGAUACAAAUGCAUGAUGGUGACAAGCUGCUAAUUCAUAAACUGUGUACGUAUUUUGUGUAGGGUUUUGAGUUUUUUAAGUACGUACUAAAUUACUCUUAUAGGAAAUAUAUGGUUGUUGAUUGAUUAGGCUACUUAACUGCGUCUAACUAGCUAGGGCUCAAAGUAAUCCAUAAUUGCUACGGGUUUGGAGGAAAUUAAAUGAUGUAAUUAGUUGAGUGUGAAGCCAUCUGAAGAGAAAGAACAAAAAUAAUUUAAAAACAAAAAAAGAAAAUGAAGGGAGAAUCCACAGCCAAACUGGGAGUUUCACUUUUGUGAAAGUUUCUGAACCAGGAAAUAGGGAUUGGAGACUUUCUCAUGUUCAUUUGCGGUGAAGUAUCUUAAUUAUCAAUAUAUACUGUUAUGUUGGCAUAUCCGUAUGGAGAUAUGAUGACAUAUUAUUCUAAUUUGCGAAGGAUUGAUGACAUCCCUUGUAAAGAAGACACGAUAAAUGGAGAAGCAGGACACACGAUACAUUAUAAAACUUCGGUUUGGGAGAGAUGAGAGAGAGAGAUUGUUGGGGGAGAGAUAAGAAAGAGGGGUAUUUUGGUCUCAAAGGCUUUUUUAUGGCUAAUGUUGAUAGAAGUUUGUUUGGGGGGUUAAGAUGGAAAAAGCCAAAAUUUUUAUGGCUAUUGAUGUAAAUUUCCCUUUAAAAUUUCAUAAAAUCGUAAGAAAAUUAUUUUCUCAAAUUAUUGCAAGAUUCGUAUGACAAUAAGAGAAAUAACAAAUUAAUUAUUCAAUUUGGGCCAAAAUGACCAUCUGGAGAAGAAGUCAAUGGGAACACUCUUAUCCUUCCCUAUCCGACACUCAACCAGCCAGCAAUAGUCAUUGUUUAAAAACCAUACCUGACAAAUAAUAAAUAAACAAGAUAAGCAUAAGCAUUUUCAUAAGAUCAAAGAAAUAAAGAAACCAACACCAAUUUGUCAAUAAAGAAUAACAAGGGAACACUUACAGCUGAUGGUGCAUAACUGGGAGAAAUUGAUGGAAUAGGCCUGCCUUCACUUCAGUGCUUAUUGCCAGCAGAAAUAAAGCCAUGACGACAAAAUUGAGACUCUUGAAGUGGGAUUGUGCUUUAAUUUAAGAGCAGCUUCCACAAAUUAACAGAGCAUUGAGUAAAUCAUGCAAUUAAUUUAUUUUAAUUUAUUUAAGUUUGUUUUUAAUUAAUAUCAUCGUUGAUGGGAGGUGUAAGAUUAAACACAUGCAUCAAUUGUAUUAAAUAUAUCAUAUAUGAUGCUCUUAAUUAGCCAGCUAUUAAUUAACAAAUACACACACACACACUUAUUAAGUUAGUUUCUUUUGCCUAAGUUCUGUUCAAUUUGAAUAAUUAAUGACCGACGUGAAUCAAAUAUUUUAAAUUAGAUUGCACUGGCGAAUUAGAAAUGAAAAAUAUAUAUAUUAUAUUUUAAUUUGAUUUAUUGUAAAAGUGAGAAAUGUUUAUAAUCCUCUUAAAAUUUCAUAAAAUCCUAAGGGAAUUAUUUUACCCAUCCGGAAUUGUUUAUUUAAGUGAAAUAUUAAGCCGUGUUUGUGACAUUUUUGAAAAAAAAAAAUUGAUAAUGCCAAACAUACGAAUCUGGGGUAUUAAUUAAAAGAAAACGGGUGUUACGUUCCUUUAAAUAAGAUGUAUGUGUCUAUCUCGACAUUUGAACCAUUUAAAUUUGUUUUUUUAUCUUUCUUUUGAUUUAAUUUCUUGUUUCUGCAUGCCGUGAUUGAUCAUUUUCUUGAUUAGGGCUUCAUAGAUUUAAUAUUUAUUGAUCAAUUAAUUAAGGUUUUGAGAGUGUUUGAUUCAAGUGUUAUCAUUCAAUUUUAAACAGAACAAACAUUUUUUUUUUUUAAUUAAAACAUAGUUUCAAUUUCUCUAUCAUUGUUCAUUGAUAGUUAUUACAGAACGCGUAUGAAAUAAGAGAAAAUUUUCAACAAUAAUUUGACAACCAAAAAAUAAGGAAACCAACACCAAUUUGACAAAUAAUGCAUAACAAUGAAUACUUACAGGUGAUUGUGAGAAUUUGAUGGAAUAUGCCUGCCUUCCGUGUUUAUUGCCGGUAGAAGCAAAGUCAUGACAAAAAAAACUGAGAUCUAUAUAUAAAUACAUAUAUGCAUGCAUGUAAAAAUCUUUAUAUAUAAAUCCAUAUAUGCAUGUAUGUAUUUAUUUAUUUAUUUCCUUAGAGGGGUGGACAAAAUCUAAAUUAAUUUUAACCUCUACUUUUUUAGGAUUCAAACUCGAGUGAUUAGCUAAAUAAAAUUGUUUGAAAACCACUUCGCCAAACACCAAGUGGUUUAAAAAUAAUUCAUAUGUUAAUAAUAAUUUGCUACGCAAACUCAUAACAGUUAUUUACAAACACUAAUAACUAAGAACAAAAAAAUAAAAAUUUAGUUAUGAUUGAUUGAAAAAACUUGAUUUGUGUAAUUUGUUUAACCGUAUUAGGAUUAAUUUCAUCAAUCAAACAAAAAUCGAUAUAAAUGUGCUAAUAUGUAUGGCUUCUAACAAAAAUUAGCAUAACAUUGUAUAGUAGAUUAGUAGUUAAAGAAAUAUUAGGAUUUAGGAAGAAAGCUUUCUCUUUCUGAAAAAAAAAAAAUUCUUUGCAAUUGAAGCGUUCAUUUCCACUAACUUAAAUUACAAAAUAAAAUAGAAAGCAAAAAGUUGAUUAUAUAUAGGUUGUAUGUGAUAAAAAAAUUAUAAAGUAAUUGAUAUGCCACAGCAAUUUAGAUUAAUCAAGUGCAGAUAUAGCCUCCAUGCCUGAUGCCUCCAUUGCAAUUGGUUUUGGGUCUUUUUUUGCAAAGAGAUUUUGAGUUUAAAAAAUGAAAUAUUUAACCACAAAAAAAACCUAAUUUCCAUGGAGGAAAGGAAAAUAGUUGAUAAGAAAACUAAGCAAGCUAAUAAAAAAGAAAAAGAAAAAGAAAGAGAGAUUGUUUAAUUUGGUUAAAACAAGAAUUUUUGAAAGUUCAUGGAUGAAAACAUAAGGUAUCCUGAUAUUUAUAAUCAAAUCAUAAAUUAAAAGAAUUGUGUGGUUUCCAAAUAUGAAAUUUGCAAAAAAAUUUGAGGUUACGGUAUUCAUCGUUGAUGCUCGAUUUGCAUAUUGUCGUGGGAACUAAGUUACUUUCAAGUGUAAGAUUUAAAUUAACGCGUUAAUUAUAUUGAAUUAGAGAAUAAAUUAAUGGAGCAAUUAUCAAAAUUCAUUUUAUUUAUUAUCAAACAAUAAUGUAAGAAUAAUAUAAAUGAAUAACUCAAUCCUGGGAAGUUACAGACAAGCUAGCCUUGAGCAUUUCUUGCUCAAUUUUCAAAUUUUCGUAAGCAGCUUUUGCUUUGCUAAUAUGUAAUUUUGUAGUCAAUGACAACAAAAAUGUUAAAUUUAAGUAAAGUUUUUAUUGGAUGAGAUUAAUUUUUUUUCCUUCUUUAAAUGCUUCAAUUGGUUAAUUAUAUGAUAGGUCAUCUACAUUCUAGAUUUAUAAGUAAUAUAAUACAUAUACAUACAUACAUACAUACAUAUAUAUAUAUAUAUAUUUCCGACAUAUCUUUUAUAUGGUAGAUAUAUGAAUGGCAAGUCCUAUAAUAUUUUAAAACAUGUCAUGUAUAUUGAAAAUAUAAAUAAACUUGUCAUACUUUUUAGGUAAAUUGUAUAAGAUGCCAUCGAUGUAUAAAUGAAUAAAUGAUAAAUCAUACAUUUGUAGCUCCAGAGUAAAAAUCUAAUGACAAGCAACUUGUCAUACAUAAUGUACGUACAUUUACAACAUGUCCUCUAUAUGAUAAAUUUUGUUAACGUCAACCAAUUUAUCACAGAAAAAAGAAAUUGCAUACUAUUAUUCUAAAGAAUAGACCUCCAAGAAGGAAAAUUCAUUUUCAUCUUUUUUCUUUGAAGAUAAUUAAAAGAGAUAUUUGAUAUCUGAUCGAGCAAGUUUAUAUGUGAUAUGUGUAUAUUUUUACAUGACAAGUCUUACACUAAGUUAAAUAAAAUUUUUAUUUGUUAAUUUAUUAUUAUAAAUAAAAUAAUUUUAAGUAUCUAAUCACUAUUAAACUGAUAUAAUUUAUUAAUCUAUUAGCCCAGAUUAUCACACAAGACAAAACAGAAUAUAAUCUAAUUCAGUCCAAAGUAUACCUAACAUACUAUGAGAUUAUUAACUAUUUAUUUACUAACCAAAAUAACUCUGAAAAUCAGGGUCUUAUUAAUGAUAACCAACAGACUGCUAAAUGAACAAAAUAAGAAAACAACAACUAAUUAAAUCAAAAUCACAAUUUUCAAUUUUUCAUAUCAAAAGUUCUAGAAAAGUCUAAAAAUUAAGAUCUUGGACAAGAAAAUAUCUUACUGACCCAUGCACCAAAAAUUAAAGCUUUUUUCAAAUAUCUGCUUCAUCAUUUAACAAUCAUCAUCAAUCAUUGUACAAGCCUACAAGGUCAUAUCAAAUAUUUCAGUUGAUGUCAUAACUACCGCCCUCGUUUCCUCCAAUUAUAAAAAUAGGACCCAUUCUCUCUAUAUCAGCGUCACAUAUUUAUAAAUUUGUAGGUCCAAUAAUCAAUUGCUGGUUCUGAUACAAUAAUGUAAAGGCUUUGUUUUGUUAUUGUCAUAAAGUUAUUGGCUUUUUUUUUUAUAAAAUUUCAAUUAAUCGAACAAUUUCUAUUGAGAAAAAAAGAAGAGAAAGCAAGAGGAAGUUGUCUUUCAAUAAAAUUGUGUCCCUGUAUGAAGUUUUAUAAUUUCAAUAUAAUCCAUCAUAUACUGAAAUUACAAAUAAUAAUAGUAGUAAAAUUAUUAAACCUUCAUCUUAUGAAAAAGAGAACAACACUGUUUUGAUAAAUAAACUUCCAUAUGUUGAUUUACUACCCAAAGAGAUAAUAUAAAAGUGAAAUCACAUUAAAAUAAAAGAAAGGAGAGAAUUUAUUUCAUAUAAACUUCAAGUUUAUUUGCCUAAAUAAAUACUAAAACCUCAAUAUUAAACCACCUUAUUUCAGAUGCCACAAAAAAAAAAGAGCUCAUGAGAUAAUUAAAACCUCAAAAUCAGCAAACACAAGAGGUUUAUUUUAUUUUUAAUUAUUAAUAUUAAGAUGGCGGAUUCAUUUAUUUGGUCCUCUGUCGCUCUCCAUUUCUUCUUUCCUCCGUCACUUCGGAUCCUUAGCUUUGCUUCACCAGCUGUUAAUUAACAAAUAAACACACUUAUUACCAAAAUAUUUUUGUUUUAUAUUCAAAGAAUUAGGCAAAAAAUAAAGUAAAUUAAUAACAAAAAUACCUGAAAGUAAGAAUCAAGCUUAGCCUUGAGAGUUUCUUGCUCCACUUUCACUUUCUCCAAAGCAGCUUUGCCUCUGUAAAUACAUGUAUAAUUUUGCGCUCAGAUGAUGAUGAAAAUUUUAACUUCUAUUUUCACACUGUAAAAUAAAAAAAUAUAUAUAUAGGUAAACAAAAUGAAAUAAUAAAAAAAAAAUUACCCUUCUAUAUUCCCAUUAUCGCAGCAUGCUCUUGCCUUAUUCACUUCAAUGAGCACUUUGCUGGCACCAAUGCUGAAAAAUAUUUAAACAUAAAAGAAACAUAAUGAUUCCAAUAAAUUGUAGAACAUUUUAAAUUAUGCAGCUACAAUAUUUAUUGCAGUAACAAUAACAUUAUGAAUAUUUUUAGAUUUUUUUUCCCCUUUACCUCACACAUAAUCCUUUAAAGUCAUGAAGACACUUCUCCAAUGCAUUGUAAUCAAUGGGGUCUUUGACGCUUUACAGUAAAAAUGAAAUUUGUUAAUUCUUUUUAUUAUUAACCAUUGAGAUUUAUUUUAUAUAUAUGUAAUGAAAAAAAUUUAUUUUAUUUUUAACUUACAAUUCCUCCUCGAGGGUGGCUAUUAUUUUGGUGGUUUCUUGGAAAUACAAACUAACUGUGUCCUCAGCAAAGGCAGGAUCAUCUUCAGUAGCCAUACUUUCCAAUUGAAUAAAUUGAUCGUUGAGAAUUUCCUACGAUGAUCAUAAAAUAUUUUUGCCAUUAAUGUAUUAAAAAAUAAGCAAAGGGUAAUUGAAUUUGAAGAAUAUAUUAUAUAUCCCAAGAGAAUUGAACAAAGUUAAUUACCUCAUCCAAGAAGCUUUGCCUCAUUGUGGCAAUUUGUUGAUGCAAAGGAUUGUUUUCCAUUUUCAGAAAAAACAAACAACACAAUCAAGAAGUUGAUUCCACUAAAAGCAGUUUUAAAAGCACUUUGCUAAAUUGGGAAUAAAUGCAAAAUGUAGGAGCAAAGUGUAUUAUGGAAUUGAAAUACAUAUAUUAUAUAUACCAACGAAAGGGAAAAAAAUUAAAUUAAAUCAACUAACAUAUCAUGAAAACUGUAUUUUGCAUGACAAAAAUUAUCACACAGGAUGAGAACCAAAAAGAAAACUAUCAAUUCUUGUGAAGUUUGUGAAUAUUUUAAGAAUAAUUUAUUUAAAGAUGAAUAUUUUGUAUAAAAAUCAUAUAUCCAACUUGUUUUACAAAGACAACUCCACUUGACAUCAACUCUCAUAAUCCAAAAUAAAAAGUACAAGGCUCUGGCUAAGUUACGUUUAACGUAACUUAUGCUAGGCACAGCAACAGUGUAUAGUGGUGGAACCUGCUACUGUUGCUGUGUCUAGCGUAAGUUACGUUAAACGUAACUUAACCGGCUCCAAAGCACAAUAUUAGUGUUGUCAAUCAUUUUUCAAAUUGAAGUUUUGAGAAUGACAAUUAACUUUCUAGGUGUUUUACCUGUUUCUAUUUAACAAAUAUAUUUUAUUAUUUUCGAUCUUUUAAAAACUAAUUCCAAAAAAAAAAAAGCUCUUGUACUCUUUCUCUAAUGUUCAAAACUUAUAUUUUCGAAAAAAAAUAUUUUUAUUUUCAAAAUAAAUUUAAAAAAUCAUUAGAAAGAAAGGACACACCUUCAGAAAAUUAGUUGAGCAUGCUCAUUCCACGUUCAUAAUCUUAACGCCAUGAAGAUAAGCAAUCGCAUCACAUUCACAAUUUUCACAAAUGUUCUAGAAAAUCCCAGAAAGUACUGAAAAAUAUCUUACGUACCCAUCACAAAACAGAAGCUUUAAAAAUAUCUCUCUCUCUCUCUCUCUCAUCAAUCAUGAUAACUAACUAACUGCCACUUCAAAUAUCUCAAAAUAUCAUUAUCACCCCUCUCAAGUUCCUCUUAUCUCACUCUCUCUCGUCAGUUAAUCUAAUGAGAUAGUAAACAGCUGAAUAAUAAGAUUUUCGGGUCGCCCGGCACAAAUUUACAUCUUUACCCUCAUCAUUCAUAAAAAUAACUGAAGUAAGUAUCUUAACAAAUAUCUCCAUUAAUAUCAUCACUACCCCUUCAAGUACUCCAAUGAUUAAAAUAGGACCCCUCUUCCAAUCAUUCUCUCUCUUUGUCCCCCUUAUAAAUAUCUUACUCCCUACUCGCUCGCUGUCACUCGCUUCAAUUUUCAAACUUUCAAUUUCUUGCAAUUUAGUCCAAAAAUUUUCACGCGUACACGCGUCCACUCGACAAACUAAUGGACGAGCUCUUGACGCCGAUCAUGGACGAGGAGUCGCCAAGGCUCCUGCAGACCAUUUCGGAGCACGGCGGAUACGCCUACGUCGGCAUGGCGGCUCAGGCGGCGGCGGACAUACGCGCGGCGGAGGCGGCGCGUGACUUGGCGUGGGAGCAGCUGCAUUCGGGGCCAUGGCACUCGGUGUUACCGGUGUGGCGCGACGCGUACUCGAUGGCGUGCUUGCACGGGGCGAAGUACCAUUAUCGGAACGGCGAGUUUAAGGAGGCGCUUAGGGUUUUGGAUAUGGGAGUGCUCAUGGGCGGGCCGGUUUUGCGAAAGGAUUUGGAUUCUGCUAUCGAAACAUUGUCGUUGAAAGCUAGAGAAGGUGAAAAUGAGCGUUUUGGUGAAAGAGAAGCUAAUCGAUUAGUCUCUGAGGAGUUUAAUACAGCUAAGGUGAGGUUCGUUUUCUUAAAAAAAAAAAAAGGAAAUUCAAUCUUUCAUGUGUUUAAUUUAAUAAUGCACUAUGAUUGUGUAUGUUAUCUGGAGAUACAUUGAGCUUAGAGAUAGCUUUCCUGUAAUUCAAUUGAAGCCAUGCUUAAAGUUGCUGUGAUUUCGCUUAAUUUCGAAUAUUAUAUGACACAUUACAGUUUAACCUUUCAUGGGUGGCACUUAAUGUUCCUUGAAAUCCGAAUUUUUUUCUUUGCAGUAAUGCUGAAAUUUAUUUGACAGAAUAGAGUUUUCGAAAGAUUUGGACUCAAGAAGUCUUGAUCAAAUAGUACUACAAAGCUUCUAUAUUCGUAAUGAAUUUACCCAGCUGAUUUCUAUUUUUGCCACGAAGAUCAGCACUUUAUAAUAGCUUGUCUUUUUAUCUGGUUUGCUGUGUGAAUGGGAUUGUGUUGGCUUGUUGCGUGUUGCUGGGAGAGAAAUUAAUCGGUGAUAAACCAUUGAUGGUGCUUCUUUUGAACUUGUAGGCGCUUCAGGUUUUGCCAAAUAGGUCUCUAUCUUGUAAGCUUGUGGUGAAGAGGUCUGCUUUAUCGCUGGAGGGAUUUUUAAGUGAAUAUUUCCUAUCAGGUUCUCCGGUUAUAAUUACUGAUUGUAUGGCACAUUGGCCAGCUAGGACAAACUGGAAUGACUUGGAUUACCUUAAAAGAGUUGCUGGUGACCGCACAGUUCCAGUUGAGGUAAUUAAUCCUUCUGUACUUUUGAUAAAUUUCAGAAGAAUCAAUAAAUUGCUAAGGAUGACAUUUUCUUUUAGUUUUGGCUAUUAAUUGUCUGUAUAGUAAUCUAAUUCAAUGUGGUAAUUUUCAUAUGUUACCAAUUCACUUAGAGAGCAACAUGAUAUUAGUUCCUUCAUAAGUUUAACAGAGAAUGAAUUGUACAGCUUAUCUUUGGAGCCAUGUGAUAAGUGAGCUUUGUUAGACUUAAGUUGAAAAUACAAGCUUUGAGCAAGAUGUGUGAGGAAACUUGAGGAGAUGAUGAUUAAAUGUAAUUUAAAUUAUUUUAGUAGUGUAAAUUUCAGGAUUUUAGCAUAUGAAAGCCAUCAAAUUGGGAGGCUAGAUUUCCUGGUGAUGAGUUACAAUUUUUUAGACAAGGCUUGUUAGGCUAUUGAACAGGCAUAAUUAAACAGUGAUAAGUCUAGCAAGGAUUGGUAAACAAUAGGAGGCUGGUAUAGAGUGAAUGGUGAUGACCACCACAUACCUACUAAAAUCAGAUGAGCCAUAGAUCAUUAUCUUCCCCACUGAAUUGUUCUUUUUAAAUUAAAAUGUGCCAUUAGGUCUCAAAAACUUCCAUAUCCUUUGUUGUUAACUUAGUCAAAUAUCCAUGGUAUGUUGAAUGCAGUUUCCUCUUUCAUUCUCUCUGUCUCUCUUUUAAUUUUUUGCUUUUUCAAUUUCUACUUUUUUCUGGCAAAAGAGCUUUUGCCAUUGCAUUUUUACUUCACUAAAUGCUUGAUUCAAUCACCUUCUUCUUCCUUCUUCUUCUGCUUUUUUUUUUAAUUAACUGAAAACUGGUAAAGUUGAAAUGCUUUACAGGUUGGUAAAAACUAUUUGUGCCAAGAUUGGAAGCAAGAGCUGAUCCCCUUCUCCCAAUUUCUUGAAAGGAUUCAAUCGAAUGGCAGUUCUGCUAGUGUCCCUACUUAUCUUGCUCAGCAUCAAUUAUUUGAUCAGGUAUGCAUUCAUCUGAUCAAAUAUUACAGCCGGGAAUUAGUACAUCUAAAGUUCUCAAUGGUGAAACUUAACUCAUUGGUGAUUUACUCAAACGGCAGAUUAACGAACUACGGAAUGACAUUUGUAUUCCUGACUAUUGUUUUGUUGGUGGUGGGGAGUUGAGGUCUCUUAAUGCUUGGUUUGGUCCAGCCGGAACUGUGACGCCCCUGCAUCAUGAUCCACACCAUAAUAUACUUGCUCAGGUAUCUCUGUAUUGUGCAUUAUCUCAACGUACAUCUACUUUUAGGAGGUUGUGGUUAAACUCUUUACUCCUGGUCUUCUGUUAUUAUGUCUGCCAUUAAGAUUUCAAAUAUUGCUAAACUCUUUAACUUUUUUGCAGUACCUGUGUAACAACUUGUCAUUCUUUUCAUAGAUUAAGUGGCCAACGCCUGAGAUCAAAUAUAAGCACGUAUUCCUGUUCAAUUAGCCGGUGGAUUCUUGUUCUUUUUCCUAUACUUUCUCUCCCCCAAAACCCCCCGCCCCCCCAGGCCAAAAUAUAUUCACCCUUUCAUCAAACCCUGUGGCCUCACUAUUGUCCCCAUAGAUAUGGAUAGAUUAAAUGCUGCUGGAUCAGACGGCUGUGGGCAGCGAAUUAUUUAAUUAUCUUGUUAGUACUAAUUUGUGUUUAUUCGCAUCCUUGGAUAAGUGCUACAGCUUCAUUUUUUUCAAAUUUUAUGUGCUUCAUAAAUCCAACAAUAUGCUAGGUCUAUGAUUAGUUUUCUUAUUGGAGAUCAUUUACUGGAUAAGUUCCAUUCCUGAAUAUGCCUGUCCGGUGUUUCUUGCAUACUUCAUUAAUAGACAUGUGUGGAUACUUGUGUGGUUUGUUUAUACGAUUACCAUAUCUACUGAUUCAGGCUUUUUUUGGCUGAAACAAUCCAUUCCUUUGCCUCUUCAUUUUCAGGUUGUUGGUAAAAAGUAUAUUAGACUUUACCCAGCUUCAUUGUCAGAGGAACUUUAUCCAUACUCCGAAACCAUGCUUUGCAAUUCCAGCCAGGUAGCUAUUAACUUGAAUUGUAAGACUUAGUCUACAGUAAUAUGCCUGUUCUUUGUAUACUAAUGCUGUAAUUGUGAAUCUAAAAAAUAUCCUCCUGCUCUAUUUGAAGGUUGAUCUAGACAACAUAGAUGAGACAAAGUUUCCAAAGGUGCGUGACCUAGAAUUUUUUGACUGUAUAUUAGACGAAGGUGAAAUGCUUUACAUCCCACCCAAAUGGUGGCACUACGUACGCUCUCUUUCUAUAAGUUUUUCAGUUAGCUUUUGGUGGAGUGAUGGUGGAAGUUCAACUGCAUACUCGUAACAAAUCGUUUAUAUGCGUGCUAAGUUGUUUCUGAUAGAGAUCUGGGUACAACAAUAUUAGAUAUAAUCUUUAUACAAACAAAAGGAGCAGAAUUCAGUGAUGGUUUAGAGUGUAUUAUCAUCAUCUUAUAUAGGAACAUUUUGAUUGUUAGUUGAUUGUAAUCAACUACGAGAUAUUUGUAUUGUAGAAAUCUGUAACAUUUUCAAAUAUCAUUUCAGCUUUUCUGGUCUGGACUUGACCAUUUACUAUUUGCAGUUUUAGCAACAAUAAUGUUUUGACGUUGCUUCAGAAUGCUUGAUCAUUAACAAAUGCUUUGAACUAAUGCUUGCAAUCAUGCUCUCAAGCAAAUGCGGAUGCUGUCAAAUGAAAUAUUCAUCCUUCUGAUGAUCGAGAUAGUGGUAUGAUUUGAUAAAUUUCUUGGAAUUGUAAUGGGUUGCCUGAUUGCUUCGAUUAUGAUUGUGAAAAUGGCGAAAUGUGAUGGUGAAGUUAAAAAAGAGUGAUGGAGUUGCCUUUGUUAUUAUAAAUUAAAAAGAUUGAACCAUACCCAUGAUUGUGAGACUUGGAGAGUUAUGUGGGGCUUUAACUUUAUGUUUUGAUGUUUCAAUGAAUCUUCUUUAACUAUAAAAUCUUAUAUUCAGCAUCAUCAACUCCACCAGUGACUACUUUAAUUUAUAGUCUGAAUAUUUUAAAAAAUUAAGUUGACUUUCUAAUGAUCUGAUGGUCGAUAUUCCUAGCAGUAUCGUAGCAUUGAUGUUUCUUCUGUAAGUUAGAAAAGAAAGGAAGGGAACUUCAAAGUCCAAUUUCCCUUCUGGAAGAACAAGAAAAAGUGAAAACCCACCUACCCAUUACGUUUGUAGGACUAGAAUUUACAUAUACAUGGACCAAUAAAAUAAAGGGUUAAUUUUGUCCUGCCCCCAAAUGUUUCAACAUUUUUCGCCACGCACCCAUAUGUUUCGAAAAUACUCACUUCACACCCAAUUCCGUUAUUUUGACCGUUUAUUCUAAAGGUCAAAGGGCAAAUUUGGAAAUUCAUAUCUUAAAUAUUAUUUGAUGAUGAUAAAUUAAAUUUAUUUGAUAAUUUAAUUGAUGAAAUUAUUAUUAAUUACCUUUAAAUAAAAUUUUUUAAUGUAAACAUUAAUUAUUAAAUUAACAUUUUAUCUCAUUUUAUUUUUCUCUAAUUCAAAAUAAGGGGUAUUUCGGACAUUUACUUAAAUUUCAAAUAGCUCCGUUAAACAUAACGGUCAAAUUAACAGAAUUGGGUGUAGAGUGAGUAUUUUCGAAACAUAUGGGUGUGUGACGAAAAAUGUUGAAAUAUUUGGGGGCAGGACAAAAUUAACCCUAAAAUAAAUGGUAAAAAAAUGUACUUUCUGACCAUCUAUAUGGAUCAUGUAUAUACUCUAUGGGUCCAGCUAUAAUGCCUGUUGUUUCAUACCUAUUUUUUUGUUUUUUUUGUGAUCUAACCAUUGGAUCAACCAAGAGUUGCAAAGGCUAUUCCAAUCGUUAGAAUGUUAUUAUUUAGUUAUUAACGAUGUGGUCUCUUAUGUUUACUAAAAGAAUAAGAAAAUAUUAAAUUAUAAAAUUUUGACACAUUGGUCCGUUAAAUAUUUUAUUAUCAAAGGUAAUUUAGUAAACGAACAUAUUUAUAUAUUAAAAAUAUGGAUGGAUUAUUUUAACUUGCUAAAAUACUCUCCACUUCCAUUUACUUAAAAUACCAAUUAUAUUUUCAUAAUACUAUUUUGUAUUUAGUGUAACACAAAAUUAGAUAAGGUUUUAUAUAAAUUUUGACAAUAUUAAAAUGGAAAAUAAAUAAAUAUUAAAUAAAUGCUUGGAUAGUCAUUUAAAUUCAUUAUAGAGUUUAUAAAUAAUAUUUUCAAAAUAAUAAAAUUCUAUAUGUAAAUUUGAGAUUAUGUAAAAUUACUUAUACUUUAUCUCACGUAUGAAGCCGAUCAAUUAUUUAUUUAAUAUGAAAAAAAGUAAAUUAUAUAAUAUUUAUUCCAUCACUUAAAUUUAGAAUUAUAAAGAAUGAAACUUAAAUUUAAAAUUGAUUGAGAAGGAGAUAGAGAGAAUAAUUUUUUUAGAAUUUUAAAAUUAUUAUAUUUUAAUUGGGUUUAUUACAUAAAAUUAUUAAAACUUAUAGUUUUUAUUAUUUAUAGAAAAAAAUAGGGAUUGUUGAAGAAAAUGCCAAAUAAACUUUUUAGAAUUUUGAAAUUAUUAUAUUUUAAUUGGGACUUAUUGUAUAAAAUUUUUAAAACUUAUAAUUUUUAUUAUUUAUAAAAAACUACAGGGACUACUAAAAAAAUACCAAAAUGGUAUUUAGUACAACGGGAGUAAGAUAGUUUUGCCCAAUAUAAUAAUAGAGCUUUAUUAGGUCAUGUCCAAUAAAGCAAAAUCAAAAGAAGCUGCUUGUGCACGGCAUUAGCUCUAUUUCUAGAAGCUGACGAAAGGCAAAGUUUGUUUUGGUAUAGUCUUGGUCUGGUCGUUUGUUUUAUUUUAUUUUAUCUUAAUUAUUAUAUUAUAAUCUAUUGAUUUUAAAAUCAGUAGCCUGCUCUUAUCCAUUGGAUUUGUCAAGCAAAACUCAAAAAUUUACACCAAAUACAACCUAUAACUAUUCCACGCUUAUAUUAAUUUAUACGAGAGGAUUAGUCUUCAUGAUUUGUCUCAAUCAUGGUCCUGUUGAAGAAAACAAAGUUUAAAUAUAAAUGAAAUUUCAAAGUUGGAAGAGUGGUGAAGUUCAGUUGAUAAGACUUAAAAGUGAAAGGGACAAUUGCAUGACUUAAUGCAAUUUGCAAUCAAAAAUAGUAAAACCCCAUAAUUAAGCUAGAAAAUAUAACACGUGAAUUUCCAAUCACUAGUAGCUAUUAAUGAAAAAAAAAAAAAAGGUAAAUUUUACAUUACCCUCUAGUUCCAAGUUAGCAAAAAGCAACUUGCAUCAAACGAUCAUAAUCUGGAUUUGCUCAACUUCGAAUUUCUGUAGAGUGCUUUUUCUCCUUUAGAUUAAAAUGUAAUAUAUGUAUCUAAACUGUAAUAUAUAGGUUGAAUACAACAAUUAAAAAAUAAAAGGGUACAUGCAUCAAGAUGCAGCGACUUCUCAAUAAACAAGAAAACAAGCUAUAUUUGCUUUAUAACCUUGAAGAUUUUAGUAUACUAAACGAUAAAGCUACAUAGCUCAAGCCUCAAGCUCCAUUGUUGACUCUUCCAUUGAUCUUGUUCUUCAUUGAUAUUGCAGCGCUGAGAAAAUCAUCCAUGGCUUUGACUGAAGAUCCCCUGCAACCUUCUUCAUCUUUCAUGGCAUUCUUGAUCAUCUCCCUAACUUCAGAAACUUUUCUUCUAAUUUCUUUCCCUUUGUCUGUUUCAUUCAUCACCAAUUCAAUUUUUGCAACCACAUCUUCAUGUUUUACUUCACAAGUCUUCCCUCUAGCAACCUCCACACAAACCCCCAUCUCUUGUUCUAAAAACUUGGCAUUGAAAAAUUGCUCAGCAGCCAUAGGCCAUCCAAUUAUUGGCACCCCAUGAAUCAAAGCUUCAAGUACUGAGUUCCAUCCACAAUGACUCAAAAAUGCACAUGUAGCUCUGUGUGACAAAACCUCCAAUUGGGGUGCCCAAUUUUUCAUCAAAAGACCCCUUUUUGAAUCUCUAAUUCUCUCCUCAAACCCUUCAGGUAACCAUUCACUGGCUCUAAAUUCUGAAUUUAUGUCAAAUCCAAUUGGUGGCCUAACGACCCAAAUGAAGUUUUUCCCACUAGCCUCCAAUGCCAUAGCCAAUUGCAUCAUUUGUGAUGCACUAAUAGUGUUCAUUGACCCAAAAGAUAUAUACAAAACUGAAUUCUCAUCCUUUGAGUCAAGCCAUUCCUUGCAAAACUUUAUGGAUGUUCCGCCUUCUUUGCCUGCGUUUGCUCUAUUUUCCAAUGAUAGCAAGAUUGGCCCCACUGGCCAAACUGACAAGCCUAGCUUUCUCUUCAAGUAAAUGAAUCCAAUCUGAUCAAACUCUUCAAUGGUAUUACACAAAAUCCCGUUAGAAUUCACCCACGCAGGAAAAUUUUCACCUUGAAACAAAGACCAAGAAUCUGUCCCAUCAGCCUCUAACAUAUUCAAAGCUAAUUGGGAUUUAUGAAUCCUUGAAGCCUCUUCAAAAUCUGGCAACACAAACUCAUCUGAAGUAACUUUGUUGUGAGGAAGAUUUGUCCAAAAGGAAUAGUAACAAGCCAAGCCAUAGCUACCAGAACCACUAAAAAUUGCAUGAAACACAUUAAGCUCCUUGGCAACACCACAAGUCCACCCAAAGAAAAUAUCAGCAAUGAUGCAAAGUGGAGGCCGGCCUUGAUUUAUGAGACUAGAAAUCACUUCUUUAAAAGCAGGUUUCAAAGAAGUUGAAGCUCUAAGGAGAUGAAUGACAAGAUUGUAAGGAAGGACAUCACAAUUUUCAGAAUUUGGAGGAAGGCCAUGAGAUGAGCUAUUGAAAGGAAUUUCAUGCAAGUCAAUGGAGGAGUUUGGAGGGAGAGAUGAUUUUAGUUUCUUGAUGUUUAAAGGGGUGCUGACAAAGGUUAUGCUGUAAUUUUUGUGUCUUUGUUCUAUGUGAAGGGCCAAGGCUAGAAAGGGAAUGAUAUGGCCUUGUGCCAUGAAUGGAAACAUUACAAUAUUUUCUUUGCUUUGCGCCAUUGCUGAAUGAUGAUGAUGCUGAAGAGAAGUUUGGAGAAGGAGAAUUGAGUUGAAUAAUUUGAAUGAGGUUUUUAGGUUAUUAUAAGGUUGAAAUUUCCAUAUCUUCCGUAAUGACACAUGUGUCCUUGAGUAAUCACAUUUUCGCAAAUAAGGACAGGGUUUUCUUAUGUGUAUAAAAUAUGUCCCCGAACUUACUGCAUUCAUAGAGUACCCUUUAUUGCUUUGUUACCAACUUUUGUAUUGUGAUUGCCAAAGACUAAAAAAUUCAGUGUAUGUAAUUGAUCAUUUUAAUAGGAACUACCGGACCAGGACCUGUACUACAUAAAUGAAAAUUUUAUAUCAUUUAUAUCAUUUUGUGAAAUAAUUAAAGAUUAGUGAUUUAGAUAUUUUAUUACUGAGUUCCAAAUUUUGUAGGACCUGAAUUUGAAAAAGGAGCAACAAAUGCUGAUUUUCAGGCUAGCGUCAUGGUGGGGGAAUAAAAAGUGGUUCAAUGUGAAGUUUACUGGUCAACAUGCGAUCACUGACAUUAGAACAAUAUUUUGACCCACUAUGGAAAUGAGGCCAACUCUAGGGCGUGUUUGAUAUAACUUUUGUAAAACUUUGGAAAAAUUAUCGCUUUAAUUUGGAAAAUAAAAAUAGAUAGUUCAAAAUUUUGAAGAUAAUACUUUCCUUUUACAUAAUGUUUAUUAGGCUUAACGACGUGGUGAUCGCAUUUUCAUAGCCUAAUUUAAGAUACUCAUAAAAGCUAUCACCUCAAGGAUACAUUUUGUUUUUUGAAAUAUUAUCAAUUUAAAAGCAAUUGCCUCAUCAAUUUAUAUCGUGCUGAAAAGACCUCUUAAACCACGAACCACCAUAAGACCUACGCUGUGAAUAGAAUGCUGAAUUCUGACUUGAAGAGCUCACUUUUAUCUUCAUGUUUGCCUGUCUAACGUUAUAAGGUGCCGAUUGCUUUUUUGUUGAGAUUUUUUCUUUCGAAAAAAUCUAAGGUGCUUCAGGUGCAUUAUUAUGUUUCUGUUUACUUCUUGUUAUGCAUAUAUUUCGAUCAGAUAUAUAAACAAUCGUAUAAAUGUUACAAAUGAUGAAAGAGGAGGGAGAAAUAUUUUUAGAGAGUACUUUAAACUCAUAUUUUGAACUCAUAUUUUUAUAUUAAUAAUAAACUUCAUAGGCAUUCUUUGUUUUUUUUUAAAUUUUUUUUAAGAUGCGGUGAAUCAAAAUAUAAAUUUUAACCCUCAAAUCUUUUUCAGAAAUUAAACUUGAGUGAUUAACCAAAUAAAGAUGUUAAAAGUCACUCAGCUAACUCAUGAGACUCUCAUUGAAGUCAUUUGUUGAUGAAGAGUAGUCAAUUUUUAAGCUAACAUGUGAUGAUGAUUGUAAUCUUGAUUUUAGGUUAAGGAAUAAAAUAUGCAAUUUAUGUGUUGAGUUUUUUGGAGUAAACUUACUGUAACUCAUGCGGAGUCUACAAAAUUGGUAACAUAAAAGAGAUAAAGAUAUGUCGUGUCCAUUUAGACAAAACAUAAUUGGUCGAGAGUGUGGACGACGAGAGGUUUUCAAUCAAUUUUAUUUAGCUGGCCAUCCAAAUCUAAAUCUUAAAAAAAUAAGAGACUAAAAAUUGAUUUAAACUUUAUUCAACCCUUAUCAUUUAAAAAAAAUAAUAAAAUAAAUUAUUUUCAUCUCUUCGUGACGACGAUGUUAAGGGACGUGUCCAUGACCAAAUGGCAGACCCAAUUCGUGUUUGGACGCUUUAAGUAUCCUUUCUUCGCGAAGCAAGAAAAGUCGUAGGCUUUUUAAGUGAGCCAUAGAAACACCCACGUCCGGAAAAUUUAAUGCGCAUCUGCCCCUCGAACACACACCUGUAUUAGUGUAUCGUUGGAUGUUAAUACUUAAUACAGCCGUAUAUUUUUUCCUUAAUAGAAGAUGUAUAUUGACAUCAGUUAAAUCGUUUGUUGCGCAGUCCCAUCAUUUUUUUUAAUACUUCGUACCAACUAAUUUCUUGAGAGAAGGAGAUUUAAGAGUCCAUAAUUGGACCUCAAAUUGGCCAUACAUCCUGGUAAAAUUAUUCUUAUUGUAUAUAACAAUUUAGACCAAACUUGAUAAUUAUUAGAGAAUGGAAUGUAAUCUUUAAACAUACCAUUAAUGAGUCCCCAUAACAUACGUCAAACCUGAUGAUUAUUUUAUCAAUCCUCCUCCUUCUGUGCCUUCUUCAUCAUCAACGCAGCAUCCAAGAAUUGUUCCAUGGCUUUUACAGAAGACCCCUUAAACUUUUCUUCAUUUCUAACAGCAUUCUAAAUAAUCAUCUUAACCUCAGAAGCUUUCUUUCUCAAGUCCAUUCCUUUCUCAGUCUCAUUCAUCACCAACUCAAACUUUGCACUUAAGUUCUCUGUCGAAACCUCACAACUCAUCCCUCUUGCUAUCUCCACACAAACCCCCAUCUCUUCUUCUAACAGCUUAGAAUUAUAAAACUGCUCUGCUGCCAACGGUCACCCAAUUAUCGGCACCCUAUGACUCAAAGCUUCAAGCACUGAGUUCCAUCCGCAAUGACUCAAAAAUGCAGAUAUUGACUUGUGAGACAAAAUCUCCACUUGAGGUGCCCAUUUUUGGACCACUAGCCCUUGUCCUGAAUCUUUGAUUCUUUCUUCAAAUCCUUCAGGCAGCCACUCAUUGGCUCUAAAUUCAGAGUUCAUGUCAAAACCAAGUGGUGGCUUGACUACCCAAAUGAAGUUCUUGCCACAAGCCUCUAAAGCCAUUGCCAAUUGCAUCAUUUGUGAUGCAGCUAUUGUGUUUUGUGAACCAAAUGACACAUAAAUCACUGAAUUGCAUGGCUUGGUAUCAAGCCAAUUUUUACACAACUCUGUGGAGAUUCCGUACUCUUUUCCUGCCCCAGCUCUGCUCCCGGUUGACAAAAGCAGGGACCCAACUGGCCAGACCGGUCGGCCGAGCUUUCUACUGAAAUACAUUAGACCAAUCUUGUCAAGCUCCUCUACUGUGUUAAACAAGAUUCCAUCGGCAUUCAUCCACUGAGGAAGCACUUUCUGAAAAAAUACUGAAAGUGAAUCACUACCAUCAGCAAGUCUUAAAAACUUUGUCAUCUGAGUUACAUGAAUUCUUGAAGCUUCAGGAAAAUCCGGCAAUAGAAAUUCAUCGGAAUCCCGAUGGGGUAGGUUUAGCCACAAAGAGUAGAAACAAGCAAAGCCAAAACUGCCACCUCCUACAAAUAGAGCAUUAAAAAUACCACAUUCUUGUGCUAUCUCUGCACUCCAUGCAAAGAACAUAUCUGCAAUGAUGCAAACCGGUUUAUGGCCAUUUUGUUCAUCAAUAAGACCAUUGAUGAGUUUCCUGAAAUGGGGUUUAAAUGAUAAAGUGGAUUCAAAGAAAUUUGGAAAGAGAUGAAAAGGAAGAGAAUCACUGUUUUCAGUACAAGGAGGGAGGUCAUGAGCUAUGCCAUCGAAGGGAAUUUCACGGAGGUGAAUGGAGGAGUUUUGAGGGAGAGACGAUUUGAGUUUCUUGAGGUUUGAAGGGGUGUUAACAAAAGUUAUAGUGUAUCUGUUUGUAUUCUCCAGGUGAAGGGCUAAUGCAAGGAAUGGGAUUGUAUGGCCUUGUGCCAUGAGCGGGAACAUCACUAUGUUCUCUUUUCUUUGUGCCAUUCUUGUUAAUAGGAAAAAACAGAGGUAAGUACAGGAUGAUGUAAAGAAGAUGUGCGGGGGUGUGCGAUACACAUACACGCGACUUUUAUAACAGUUGGAAGAAUUUAGCGUACGUUAAGAAUUAACCUUAAGCUAUUAUUAUUGGUUGAAACAUGUGCAUUUAAUAAAGAGAAAAUUAAAAAGAAAAUUAAUAAUAAUAAUAAUGCUGCAGACAGGAACUCUGUGAAACUUUCCUAAGCGACGUAUUAAAAAUUUGACCGCAUUACUCCAGCCAUCGACCCCAACCAAUCCAAAGUUAGUGUGAGGAGAAUUCAAACUUUUAAUCUCUUUGAAUUAAAUAAAAUAAUCUCUUUGUUUCUUGUUCUUUGAAUUCAAUAAAAUCAACUGAGUCGUCAGACAUUUUCUCCAAAUUGUUUAUUCAAUUGAGUCCUCUUGACCUCUUCGAUAAUGAUGGUAUACAAAUUGAUUUGCUGAACUCGGUUUGUUUUAUCUUUCUAUUUCUAUUCUCAUGUCAGCUAACAAACAGGGAUGGUGCUGCUGAUUUCAUUAAAGGGCCAACUGCAGGACACCUCACUCGCACUAUUUUCCAACCCACUUACUCACACUUUUUCAGAAGAGAUAAGAUGGAAUACAAAAGGUCCAGUCUUUUCGAACUUACCAUGUAGGAAAUUGCAUGGAAAUGAUUAAAUUGUUCAAUAAUACUUCAUAGACCUCUUAACUUUCCUCCAGAAAAAUUUAAGAAUCAUACCCCACUCCCCUUCUCUACCACUUAAUCCUCCACUUUUUCUCCUUCUGAUCCUCAUCAACAACAAUGGCACAGAGGAAAGAAACCAUAGUUUUGUUUCCAUUCAUGGCACAAGGCCAUAUAAUCCCUUUCCUGGCAUUAGCCCUUCACUUAGAGAAAACAAAUAAAUACACCAUAACUUUUGUUAACACCCCUUUGAACCUCAGGAAACUCAAAUCUUCUGUCCCUCAAAACUCCUCCAUUAACCUUCUUGAAAUUCCCUUCGAUAGCAUAGAUCAUAAUCUCCCUCCUUGUACUGAGAACACAGAUUCUGUUCCUUAUCAUCUAGUUUCCAAACUCAUUGAGGCUACUUUAUCGUUUAAGCCCCAUUUCAAGAAACUCGUCAAUGAUCUUAUUGAUGAACAAAAUGGCUAUAAACCACUUUGUAUCAUCACAGAUAUGUUCUUUGGUUGGUGCAAAGAGAUAGCACAAGAAUAUGGUAUUUUUCAUGCGAUAUUUAUAGGAGGUGGUGGAUUUGGCUUUGCUUGUUACUACUCUCUGUGGGUAAACUUGCCUCAUCGGAACAUGGAUUCUGAUGAAUGUGUAUUGCCUGAUUUUCCUGAAGCUUCUACAAUUCAUGCAACUCAGCUGGCAGAUUAUCUAAGAGUUGCGGAUGGAAGUGAUUCUUUUUCAGCGAUUCUACAGAAAGUGCUUCCUCAGUGGAUGAAUGCCGAUGGAAUUUUGGUUAACACAGUUGAGGAACUUGACAAGAUUGGACUGAUGUAUUUCAAGAGAAAAUUUGGCCGGUCGGUUUGGCCAAUAGGACCUGUUCUUUUGUCCACAGAAAACAGAGGUGGGGCUGGAAAAGAGUACGGAAUCUCCACAGAGUUGUGUAAAAAAUGGCUCGAUACCAAGCCGUACACUUCAGUUCUGUAUGUAUCAUUUGGUUCACAAAACACAAUAGCCACAUCACAAAUGAUGCAAUUGGCAAUGGCUUUAGAGGCUAGUGGCAAGAAUUUCAUUUGGGUUGUUAGGCCUCCGAUUGGCUUUGACAUAAAUUCUGAGUUUAAAGCCAACGAGUGGCUGCCUUGAGGAUUCGAAGAAAGAAUCAAAUGUUCAGGACAAGGGCUAGUGGUACACAAAUGGGCACCUCAGGUGGAGAUUUUAUCUCAUAGGUCUGUAUCUGUAUUUUUGAGUCACUGCGGAUGGAACUCUGUACUUGAAGCUUUAAGUCAUGGGGUGCCGAUAAUAGGGUGGCCAUUGGCAGCAGAGCAGUUUUACAAUUCUAAGCUGUUGGAAGAAGAGAUUGGGGUUUGUGUGGAGGUAGCUAGAGGGAAAAGCAGUGAGGUUCUGAAAAAAGACAUAGCGGCAAAAAUUGAGUUGGUGAUGAAUGAGACUGAGAAAGGAAUAGAGUUGAGAAAGAAUGCUUAUGAGGUUAGGGAGAUUAUUAAGAAUGCCUUUAAAAAUGAAGAAAAUUUUCAGGGUUCUUCAGUGAAAGCCAUGAAUCAAUUCCUGAAUGCUGCAUCGAUGGUGAAGGAGACAAUUAAUUGAUCAAAGAAUGAAGUUUUUGAUGCAUGAACCUAGCCAUUUUAAUGGUGUUACUUGAAAAUGACGCAUCUUUUUUUUCGUUUUUGGGUUUGGCCAAUCUUAUAAUAAUUGGUGGCCGGCACGGCAUUCCUCAUUAUUCGUACUCACUUUUUUUGCUAUUAGAUUAGUUUAACGUGGAUGUGUCGGUAACUUUUUGAAUGUUUGAAUAAUUUUCAAAACUUCUAUUUGAUAUCCAAAAUUUUUGUAUUAAAUUUUCUAUUCGUUCUUGUUCCAAUGCUUGUAAAAAUAUUUUUAUUUCUUAAUUUCUUCUUUCACCUACUCUAAUUUCUUCUUUCAACUACUAAAGACCUUCACAAUAUGCGAAAAGCCACUUUUUGAAAUUAUAUAUUCCAAUGUGUGCAGUAUUAUUAUUUACCAUUGAAUCAUCUACAUAAGAAAAGAUGCUAGUUUCUCUUCCUUUGUUAAUUUCUUUAUUGCAUAUUAAUUAAACAAUUAAGGAGGUUUUUGCCGUACAAUUUCUGAAAGCUUGCUCGCUUAUUGUAUGCUAACGUUGAAGCAACUGAACUUCUCAUUACUCAAGAGUGAUUCAUGGAUCUUAGAGGUUAGAAAAAUCACAUGUUCUUGGUGAUUCAUCAUUCACGUCCACUUUCUAUAGAACCAAUCAAUACCUGUCAACUAUUCCUUAAUUACACUAUCUUGUUUGGUAUUGUUUUUCAAAUAAUGUUUUUGUAUUUAUUUUGUAAUAGAGAAAUGAUUAAUUUUUUGUGGAUUUGAAAAUGUGUUUGGUAGUUUGCUUUUAUAAUAGUACUUAAAAAUAGAAAAAUAAAAAUAAGUUUGGUUAUUUGUUUGGAAAAAUGAUAAUAAUGAAAAUGAAAGGGUGUUGAAAAAGAAGUUAUAUAAUAAUGAAAGAUGAUGGGAAAAAAAAACUUUUAAAAGUUGCUAUUAAAAUAAGAAAUAUAUUUAUUCAUAUAAUUUAAAAAUAGUGUAGUUAAAUUAAUUAAUAAAUAUUUAAGUUGGCAGGUACUUCAACCAUAAAGAGACAACUUCAGCCAUAAACAAACAACACAUGAGUGACAGUUUCGAUGACUUUUCAUAAACAAAAAAAUGUAGAACAAAUUUUGCAAAUUUUAUUGUUUUCUAUUUUCAUGAAGGGAAGACACAGAACGAGAAUGAUUUGUUGUCAAAGAAUCCAAACAUUGCUGGAAAACGGUACAACCAGACAAGUUUUCCUUUGUUUUAUCUUUGAAAAACAGAAAAGACCAAUUUGGAAACAGUACCAAACAGGCUUUUGAAUUAUGAUUUAGGAUGGGAGUUUUGUUUGAUUUUGACUGAAUUAUAUGAUAAUUCAAUAAUAUUACCUCUACCUAUUUGCAUGUGGAAGUAUGGCAAUAAAAUGAUUCUUCCAAUCAAAAUAAGCCAUGUGUCAAUGGUACAACAAAAUUACCAAACAAUUUUUUUUAAAUUUGAUUUUUAGUUUUUAAAUUCUGUAGGGAUAUUUGAACCCAGUAAACUACUCGUUAAACCAUUUACUAGAUAAACUCACCCUCAUAUUUUGAAAUUUAAAAUUUUACUCAACAAACUCACAUAAAUACUCAAUAAACCCUUACUAAAUCCAAAUUGUAUAAUAAUAAUGUAUUUAUUCACUAAACCCAUUAAAUUCAUUUAUGAAUCCUUAAUGAAUAUUUCAUUGAAUUUCUUAUAUAGUUAUUCAAAAUCUAGAAAAUUCCAGUAGCCCAUCAACCACUAAAUAUAGACUCAUGUUGGCAAUGCGUAAGAAGAGGAUCCAUUCACCUCAAAAUCAAAAUAUCACCUCUCAAGUAAGCCAAAUGAUUGAUGUUUAAGAAAAGGACCACAAACCAAACAAAUUAAAGAGCAACAUCUUUCAUUUUCAGCCAAGUACUUUACAAAAACAAAAAAAAAAAAGAAGGUGGAAAGCACUAAAACAACACUAGAGGAUAUUUUUGUAGUAUACUAGUAUAAGUGGCCCAAAAAAAUAAAAAUCAUUCUUUAGUUUAUUAAGGUUUAACAAAAUUACAUUGAAUGUGAAUAUGGGUUCAAAAAGCAAAAAAAAAAAAUUCUUUUUUAUUAUAUUUUAGUGUCUAUAAUUAUAAUUUAAUUUAUAAUUUUUUUUUCUUAACUAUCCGAUAUCCGGCGACCACAUCAGGUCCUGGCUACUUCGGAUUCGAGUCGGGUGCCAAUAAAAUCCUCCCAACGAGGGCGACUCCUAAGGGUUUCAAACUAGAGAGCAAACCCACUCGAGCCACCUAAGGGGUUUAACCAGCGCCAGCAGAACCAACACCUCGUUGGUAAUUUAGAAAUAUUUUAAUCAUUAAAAAUUAUUUCUAAAUGUAGGUUUAAUGAGUAAUUUAGUGAGUUUAAAUAACCAUAGGAUGGUGAAAGUCAAACUUAAUCAUUGGUCGUUGAAAAAAAUUAAAAUUACCAAAAUGACCCCACUUCCCUUCCUUAUCACUUAUUCCUCUGCUUUUUCUCCUCCUAAUGAUCCUCAUCAACAGCAAUGGCGCAAAGAAAAGAGAAUAUAGUGAUGUUCCCAUUCAUGGCACAAGGCCAUAUAAUCCCCUUCCUAGCAUUAGCCCGUCGCUUGGAAGAAACAAACAAAUACACCAUAACUCUUGUUAACACCCCUUUAAACCUUAAGAAGCUCAAAUCAUCUCUCCCUCAAAAUUCCUCUAUUCACCUUCUUGAAAUUCCUUUCAAUAGCGUAGAGCAUGACCUCCCUCCAUGUACUGAAAACACAGACUCUAUUCCGUAUCAUCUCUUUCCAAAAUUCCUUCAAGCAUCAGCAUCGCUCGAACCCCACUUCAAGAAACUAAUCUCUGAACUUGUCAAUGAACAAAAUGGCCAAAAACCACUUUGUAUCAUCACUGAUACGUUCUUAGGCUGGUGUAAAGAGACAGCACAAGAGUAUGGUAUUUUUCAUGCUAUAUUCAUAGGAGGUGGUGGCUUUGGCUUUGCUUGUUUGUACUCGAUGUUGCUAAACCUACCUCACCGCAGCACGGAUUCUGAUGAAUUUCUGUUGCCGGAUUUUCCAGAAGCUUCAACACUUCAUGUAACACAGAUAUCUCCUUACUUACGUGCUACCGAUGGAAGUGAUUCUUUUUCAGUGUUUUAUAAGAAGUUGCUUCUUCUAUGGAAGGAUGCAGAUGGAAUUUUGGUUAACACGGUUGAGGAACUUGACAAGAUUGGACUGAUGUAUUUCAAGAGAAAAUUUGGCCGGCCGGUUUGGCCAAUAGGGCCUGUUCUUUUGUCCACGGAAAGCAGAGCUGGGGCCAGAAAAGAGUACGGAAUCUCCACAGAGUUGUGUAAAAAAUGGCUUGAUACAAAGCCGUACACUUCAGUUCUGUAUGUAUCAUUCGGUUCACAAAACACAAUAGCUGGCACAAUCCCACUUCAAGAGUCUCAAUUUUGUCGUCAUGGCUUUAUUUCUGCUGGCAAUAAGCACUGAAGUGAAGGCAGGCCUAUUCCAUCAAUUUCUCCCAGUUAUGCACCAUCAGCUGUAAGUGUUCCCUUGUUAUUCUUUAUUGACAAAUUGGUGUUGGUUUCUUUAUUUCUUUGAUCUUAUGAAAAUGCUUAUGCUUAUCUUGUUUAUUUAUUAUUUGUCAGGUAUGGUUUUUAAACAAUGACUAUUGCUGGCUGGUUGAGUGUCGGAUAGGGAAGGAUAAGAGUGUUCCCAUUGACUUCUUCUCCAGAUGGUCAUUUUGGCCCAAAUUGAAUAAUUAAUUUGUUAUUUCUCUUAUUGUCAUACGAAUCUUGCAAUAAUUUGAGAAAAUAAUUUUCUUACGAUUUUAUGAAAUUUUAAAGGGACUGCUGUACCGUACAUCCGCCUUGGCCGUACAGCAGAGAUAUGUUCUUUGCAUGGAGUGCAGAGAUAGCACAAGAAUAUGGUAUUUUUAAUGCUCUAUUUGUAGGAGGUGGUAGUUUUGGCUUUGCUUGUUUCUACUCUUUGUGGCUAAACCUACCCCAUCGGGAUUCCGAUGAAUUUCUAUUGCCGGAUUUUCCUGAAGCUUCAAGAAUUCAUGUAACUCAGAUGACAAAGUUUUUAAGACUUGCUGAUGGUAGUGAUUCACUUUCAGUAUUUUUUCAGAAAGUGCUUCCUCAGUGGAUGAAUGCCGAUGGAAUCUUGUUUAACACAGUAGAGGAGCUUGACAAGAUUGGUCUAAUGUAUUUCAGUAGAAAGCUCGGCCGACCGGUCUGGCCAGUUGGGUCCCUGCUUUUGUCAACCGGGAGCAGAGCUGGGGCAGGAAAAGAGUACGGAAUCUCCACAGAGUUGUGUAAAAAUUGGCUUGAUACCAAGCCAUGCAAUUCAGUGAUUUAUGUGUCAUUUGGUUCACAAAACACAAUAGCUGCAUCACAAAUGAUGCAAUUGGCAAUGGCUUUAGAGGCUUGUGGCAAGAACUUCAUUUGGGUAGUCAAGCCACCACUUGGUUUUGACAUGAACUCUGAAUUUAGAGCCAAUGAGUGGCUGCCUGAAGGAUUUGAAGAAAGAAUCAAAGAUUCAGGACAAGGGCUAGUGGUCCAAAAAUGGGCACCUCAAGUGGAGAUUUUGUCUCACAAGUCAAUAUCUGCAUUUUUGAGUCAUUGCGGAUGGAACUCAGUGCUUGAAGCUUUGAGUCAUAGGGUGCCGAUAAUUGGGUGACCGUUGGCAGCAGAGCAGUUUUAUAAUUCUAAGCUGUUAGAAGAAGAGAUGGGGGUUUGUGUGGAGAUAGCAAGAGGGAUGAGUUGUGAGGUUUUGAAAGAGGACUUAAGUGCAAAAAUUGAGUUAGUGAUGAAUGAGACUGAGAAAGGAACAGACUUGAGAAACAAAGCUAAUGAGGUCAAGGUGAUUAUUAAGAAUGCUGUGAGAAAUGAAACAAAUUUUAAGGGGUCUUCUGUGAAAGCCAUGGAUCAAUUCUUGAAUGCUGCAUUGAUAAUGAGACAGAUGGAAAAGGGAGCAUCAAAGGAUGAGGUUUGAUUUUGCGUGGAAGGAAGUCUCCAUUGCCAUUUCUGUCGAUGAAAAAUAAUGUAAUCUUUUAACGAGACAGUUUUGGGAAAAUUCUUGAAGUAGUGUUAUCUUUUUAUUAACUUUCGAUCAAUAAUAUGAAAUUUGAUUUUAUAUAAAUUAAUCCCAUAACAAAGAGCAUCCUCUGUUUUUUGUGACUACAUCUAUCAGGAUUCAGGAAUUUUGAGUUUAAAGCUUGUUCCUUCCGAGUGGGAUCAGGAAUUUAUAGAGCACAAUUCCUUAGUAUUUAAUGUUUUCAAUAAAUGAAAGUAUGAUUGGGCCGAAAAACCAUCACCCACGGUCCUCAUCAAGCCCAACCCAGACCAUGUCAUUUGGGCUGGUUUGAUAAGGGAAACUCAAUCUAUUAUAAAUUUCAUUAGGCUUUGGGUCGGUCAUUUUCACAAAAUAAUUUCUAAAGUGAUAUAUCGAUAAAUUACUGUUAAAAAAAAAAAAAAAGGUAGAAAUCUGCAUCUCUUAAUUUAUCAAUGGCACCAUCAUCGUCAAUGAACAAGCUUCUGACCUUGGCUAUAACGAUAUUUAUAAGUUUCGGCUAAAUCGGAUUGCCACCAUUAAAUUUUUUAGUUAUUGGUAUCUUAGAUUUUUCUAACAUCAUAAUCUGUUAAAAUAUUGAAUCUAAAAAAAAAAAAAAUUGAACUAACUGUUUUUUUUAAUAGAAAUGCAUUCUGAUUAAAGUAUGUUAAAACGUUAAUAGAAAGAAUAAACAUAACAUUUCAUAUGAAAUUUUAGUUCAAUCACAUGCGUAAAUUUCUAGUUUGUGAAGCAAAAAGGUUAUGAGAGAUUUUUCUAAAUAUGUACAUUGAGAUCUCCUUCCUACCAAUCCUUAAUUAUUUUUUAUUGUUGAAUUAUGUUGUGUUUUGUGCUCACUUUAAAAUAGGAUUCAACUUUAUACCAUUGAACCAAUCAUGUUAAAAUGUUGGAUGAAAUUGAAUUAAAAUUAUUCAUAGCAUUAGAUGGAGAUUGAGAUUUUAUAAACAAAUGUUGGAUGGUGAUUGGAGAAAAGAGAUAUUGCAAAUGGCGACGCUGAUCGGAGAAAACAAAAAUACCCUAAAGUAUAUAAACGCUUGGUUUCGCAAUGAUAUAUAUUGUCUGAUUUAUUGAAAUUUGUUUUAAAGUAUACUCUAAUUUACUGGAUUGCUUGAAAAAAUAAAGUGUAAUGUUAAUCGCAUCUCGUAGAUUUGUAUGCAAAAUAAAUUUUAAUAUAAUAUUUUAAAUUAAUUAAAAUAACAGUAUUUUUCCAUUGCAAUAAUAAAUCGUCUUUAAUUAUUUAUGAAGACAAAAUUUAGGCUAUUUUCAGAUUGAAAGCACAUAUACUCUUUGUCUGCAGGGGAGACUCUCCAUUACUGACAAGAGUGAUAAGCAUUUAGUCUUUAGACUGAGACCAUCUAAAACUGGACUCAACAAUUCUGCAUCGUAUGUAUAUUCCCAAAAGAUUUUUAAAAUUAGUUUUAAAAACGUGGAAGCUUUGGUUGCCCAAUUAAUGCACCCACCUCUGCGUUUCCCCUACGUAUUAGCCUGCGUAAUUUUUAAAUUUUCGGUGAUUAUGGUCUUGAUUGGGAUUACGUUGCUGUAAUUUUUAAGUUAUAACUACUGUGAAAAAAAAAGUAUAAUUAUGAAAUAAAAAUAAAUAAUAUAUAAUAAAUAUAAUUUUUAAAUAAUAAUUUUAUAAAAAUUAUUAAAGAUAUAUUAAUUCAUCACGUAAAUAUAAAAUUAAAUUAAAUUAUCUUUUAAGUUAUAGUAGUUAGUAUUUAUUAAAUAUUUUAAUUUUUAAAUUUUUAAAUUACAGUUAUUUAAUCUCAAUUCUAAAUAGAGCCUAUAUCUAUUUAAAACUUGUUCAGAUUGCUAACUAGUUAUGCUUUAUUUAACAUAGUAGAAUUCGGUAAUUCACUUAUUAUUAAUUUUUUGUUUUAGUCUCUAGACCAUCUUUCACCGAUAAAAACUGUUUUAUUACAUACCAAAACUGUUAAAAUCAAGGACGGAAGCAGCAUGGUGCUACCAGGAUCAGCUGUCCCCACUUAAGUACUUAGCUUUCUAUUUUAUGCUUAAGUCUCACCCUGCAAUCUUUAUUGGUGUGCCCUCUUGAUUUCAAUGUUCAACCAAUUUAUCUUUUAAAAUUUUUUGAACAGACUCAGUAACUUGAAAUUAAAAGCCUAAUAGCCUUAAUUCCAGUAUGUUGCGAAAAAAAUUUCAAAUAGUAUUGAUAAUAAAACUAUUGAGCAGCAUUAUCAAUUCAUGAAAAUAAGUCAUCAACAAUUUAUGAGUGAAAGAUAUAACUUUAUAUUUAUUAUUAUUUUUUAAAAAAAAAUUACCCCCUAUAGAGUAAAUUUCUAGCUUCAUCCAUCGUUAAAGUAACUCAUGUUAUUUCAAUGAACGCCAAAGACACAUAGGUAUAACUAAUUAUUUUAAAUUUUUUUUAUUAAAACUUAGCAGUUUGAGGAAUUUUUAUUAAAUAUGAAAUAAGAAAUGAAAUACCAAAUCCGGAGGAUUUAAUUACAUUAUUUUUUUCCCAAUUGGAAAUAUGUUGGAAAGAAAUACCUUUAAAAUCUGCCAUUAAAAUAAGAAAUAUGUUUAUUAAUAUAAUUUAAAAAAUAAUGUAAUUAACUUGACUAAUAAAUGUUUGUUUUGGUUGGUCAUUUAACCAUAAAGUGGCAACAUGCAAGCAACAGAGUUGAUGACUUUCUGUGCAGUUUGGAGCCCAUUCUAGACACAAAAAAUAUAGAACAAACUUCAUUGCUUUCUACUUCUAUGAAGGGGAAUAAAAAAAUGAGGAUGAUUUGAUGUCAAAAAUCAAAAUGAUCCAAGCAAUGCCGCAAUACGGUGCCGCCAAACAAACCUUUCAUUGUUUUACUCUUAAAAAACAGAAAACAACAAUUUGGAAACAGUACCAAGCAGCCUACUAAAAAGUUAGUGAAUUAUGAUUUAGGAUUGGGGUUUUGUUUGAUGUUGAAUGAAUUAUAUGAUAACAAUGAUGAUAAAGUCAAAAACAGUUUUGUAUAAUUUAAUAUGUAAUAAUUAAUGUGACACGAAAAAAGUAACUAAAAAGUAAUGAUAGUUUUUUUUUUAAUUAUGUGAGACCAUAAUAAUUUUAUAUAAUCAAUCAUCAAAAUUAACAAUAUAUGUCAAGGCUCUAGCAGAAUUAUCAAAAUGCUCAGUUUUUUUUAAAUUUAAUUUUCAGUUUUUAAAUUUAGAAAGUCGAAAGUUGUCUUUCAAAAGAAUUAAAAUUACCAAAAUGACCCCACUCCCCUUCUUAACCACCUAAUCCUCCGCAAUUUCUCCUCAUCCUCUCAUCAAUAGCAAUGGCACAAAGAAAAGAAAACAUAGUGAUGUUCCCAUUCAUGGCACAAGGCCAUAUAAUCCCUUUCCUAGCGUUAGCCCUUCAGUUGGAAAAAACAAACAAAUACACCAUAACUCUGUUGGUGAAUUAUGAGAAUAUGGAGGCAAAGAACAAUGAAAUUUCUUAGGAUUUGAGACGUGUUUACACACUUUCCUUUAAGGUUUUAUUUGCCCUCACCAAUCUUGGUUUGCUAUAGAGUUUUAAUGGCAAAUUACCCCCAAGAUAUAUCAAAUCCUGAAUACAAUCUUUAGCAAAUAAGAUUGUAUUUCCAGAACAAGCAUGAAAUCUUCAAAAUCUGAUUUCUAAUCUUAUUGUAUGUCUUUCUUUUUAUGAAUAAGAUGUUUAUUUGAAAGAAUACAACCAUUAGAAAAUGGUACUUCUUCGAAAAAAACUCUUUUGGUUUUAAAAUGCAUCGAUUUACAAUUGAAAUCUUUUCAAUCUUGCUAACCGUUUUCCAAUUGACAACUUUCUGGAAAUAAACGGUUAGCCGUUUUCUCAAUAAACGGUGAGCCGUUUAUUCUAGGACAUAAAACAUGCUCUCUGGACUUAAACGGUAAGCCGUUUUCACCAUAAACGGUGAGCUGUUUAUUCCAGAACAAAAAACAUGCUCUCUGGACUUAAACGGUUAGUCGUUUUCUCAAUAAACGGCAACCCGUUUUCGUCCAGAAUAUCAAACCAAACAAAUUUGAAAGAUGUUACAAUCUCUCUUACAAACUCUUGUUAACACCCCUUUAAACCUCAAGAGACUCAAAUCAUCUCUCCCACAAAAUUCCUCCAUUCACCUUCUUGAAAUUCCUUUCAACAGCAUAGAGCAUGACCUCCCUCCUUGUACUGAAAACACAGACUCUAUUCCACAUCAUCUCUUUCCAAGAUUCCUUCAAGCAUCAGCAUCGCUCGAACCCCACUUCAAGAAACUAAUCUCUGAACUUGUCAAUGAACAAAAUGGCCAAAAACCACUUUGUAUCAUCACUGAUUCGUUCCUAGGUUGGUGUAAAGAGACAGCACAAGAGUACGGUAUUUUUCAUGCUAUAUUCAUAGGAGGUGGUGGCUUUGGCUUUGCUUGUUUCUACUCUUUGUGGGUAAACUUGCCUCAUCGGAAAACGGAUGCCGAUAAAUUUCUGUUGCCGGAUUUUCCUGAAGCUUCAACACUUCAUGUAACUCAGAUGUCACUUUCCUUACGUGCUGCCGAUAGUCUCUUGAAAGACCUUUUGUUAAAGGAUCUGCUAGGUUCUUAUUAGUCCUAACAUAAACAAUAUUAAUAACACCAUCUGCUAUUAAUUGUUUCACAUAUUCAUGUCUUAAGCUAAUAUGUCUAGACUUUCCAUUAUACACUUUAUUAUAAGCUCUAGACAAUGUAGCUUCACUGUCGCAGUACAAAGAAAUAGAUGGCAUCGGUUGUGGCCACAACAUUAUAUCAAACAACAAAUUUCUCAGCCAUUCUGCUUCUUUGCCUGCAGAUGCAAGUGCUAUAAACUCACUUUCCAUUGUUGAAUGAGUUAUGCACGUUUGUUUCUUUGAAGCCCAAGAAACCGCUCCUCCAGCAAUUGUAAAAAUCCAACCAGAAGUGGAUUUAUUAUCUCUUGUAUUGGUUACCCAACUAGCAUCUGAAUAUCCUUCCAGUACUUCAGGAUAAUCAUUAUAAAACAAACCCAAAUUAAUGGUCCUUUUAAGAUAAUCAAGUAUUCUACCAAUUGCUUUUCAGUGUUCAACACUAGGGUUACUCGUGAAUCUUGACAUUUUGCAAACUGCAAAUGCUAUAUCAGGCCUCUUACAAUGCAUAGCAUACAUCAAGCUACCAAUUGCACUAGCAUAUUCUAGUUGAGCUACUAUUCGGCCUGAAUUCUCUAGUAAUUUAAUACUAGAAUCAUAUGGGGUAUUAGCUUCUUUAAAUUUCAAAUAAUUGAAUUUAAGAAGCACUUUCUCUAUAUAAUGAGAUUGACACAACGAGUAACCCCCACUAUGUUUAUUCACUUUGAUACCUAAGAUAGUAUCUACUUCACCAAGAUCUUUCAUCUUAAAUUGUGAAGUUAAAUACUUCUUUGUAUCAUCUACUCCUUGCAUAUUUGUUCCAAAGAUAAGCAAGUCAUCAACAUACAAGCAUAUAAUCACACCAAAAUCAUUCGUAUAUUUAAAAUAUACACAUUUAUCAGCAUUAUUAUGCUUAAAACCAUGUGAUAAAAUUACCGAAUCAAACUUCUCAUGCCAUUGUUUUGGUGCUUGCUUUAAGCCAUAAAGAGAUUUGAUUAACUUGCAUACCUUUUUUUCAUUUCCAGGCAAAACAAAUCCCUCAGGUUAUUCCAUAUAGAUUUCUUCAUCAAGAUCACCAUUAAAAAAAGCUGUUUUAACAUCCAUUUGAUGCACAUACAAAUUGUUCAAUGAAGCAAUUGCAAAUAGCACUCUUAUAGAAGUUAACCUAGCUACCGGAGCAUAUGUAUCGAAAUAGUCAAUACCAUUUCUUUGCUUAAACCCUUUGGCUACUAAUCUAGCCUUAAAAGUUUGCAAAGAACCAUCAUUAUUGUACUUUCUUCUAAAUACCCAUUUGCUGCUAAUUGGUUGAGAUCCUGGAGGAAGAUCAACCAAGACCCAUGUUUGAUUCGACAUUAUCGAAUCCAUUUCAUCAUUUACCGCCUCUCUCCAAAAAGAAGCGUCUCUAGAAGACAUAGCCUCGCUAAAUGUCUUUGGAUCUUUUUCAAUAUUUAACAACAAUGGUACUUUGUUAAGUACAUUCUUCUGCUAUACGGCCAAGGCGGAUGUACGGUACAGCAGUAUAAUGCCUGUUGUUUCAUACCUAUUUUUUUGUUUUUUUUGUGAUCUAACCAUUGGAUCAACCAAGAGUUGCAAAGGCUAUUCCAAUCGUUAGAAUGUUAUUAUUUAGUUAUUAACGAUGUGGUCUCUUAUGUUUACUAAAAGAAUAAGAAAAUAUUAAAUUAUAAAAUUUUGACACAUUGGUCCGUUAAAUAUUUUAUUAUCAAAGGUAAUUUAGUAAACGAACAUAUUUAUAUAUUAAAAAUAUGGAUGGAUUAUUUUAACUUGCUAAAAUACUCUCCACUUCCAUUUACUUAAAAUACCAAUUAUAUUUUCAUAAUACUAUUUUGUAUUUAGUGUAACACAAAAUUAGAUAAGGUUUUAUAUAAAUUUUGACAAUAUUAAAAUGGAAAAUAAAUAAAUAUUAAAUAAAUGCUUGGAUAGUCAUUUAAAUUCAUUAUAGAGUUUAUAAAUAAUAUUUUCAAAAUAAUAAAAUUCUAUAUGUAAAUUUGAGAUUAUGUAAAAUUACUUAUACUUUAUCUCACGUAUGAAGCCGAUCAAUUAUUUAUUUAAUAUGAAAAAAAGUAAAUUAUAUAAUAUUUAUUCCAUCACUUAAAUUUAGAAUUAUAAAGAAUGAAACUUAAAUUUAAAAUUGAUUGAGAAGGAGAUAGAGAGAAUAAUUUUUUUAGAAUUUUAAAAUUAUUAUAUUUUAAUUGGGUUUAUUACAUAAAAUUAUUAAAACUUAUAGUUUUUAUUAUUUAUAGAAAAAAAUAGGGAUUGUUGAAGAAAAUGCCAAAUAAACUUUUUAGAAUUUUGAAAUUAUUAUAUUUUAAUUGGGACUUAUUGUAUAAAAUUUUUAAAACUUAUAAUUUUUAUUAUUUAUAAAAAACUACAGGGACUACUAAAAAAAUACCAAAAUGGUAUUUAGUACAACGGGAGUAAGAUAGUUUUGCCCAAUAUAAUAAUAGAGCUUUAUUAGGUCAUGUCCAAUAAAGCAAAAUCAAAAGAAGCUGCUUGUGCACGGCAUUAGCUCUAUUUCUAGAAGCUGACGAAAGGCAAAGUUUGUUUUGGUAUAGUCUUGGUCUGGUCGUUUGUUUUAUUUUAUUUUAUCUUAAUUAUUAUAUUAUAAUCUAUUGAUUUUAAAAUCAGUAGCCUGCUCUUAUCCAUUGGAUUUGUCAAGCAAAACUCAAAAAUUUACACCAAAUACAACCUAUAACUAUUCCACGCUUAUAUUAAUUUAUACGAGAGGAUUAGUCUUCAUGAUUUGUCUCAAUCAUGGUCCUGUUGAAGAAAACAAAGUUUAAAUAUAAAUUUCUUCUUUGUAUGAUAAGAAAAAUUUCUUAUCAUUACAAACAUGAAUUGUUGCACCCGAAUCGAGCCACCAAUCAUAGGACUUAGUUUCAGCCAUAUUGGUUUCAGUAAUCAUGCCAAUUUGUAUUUCAGAAACCAUAGCACAAAUCUGUUCAGAUUUGUUUUCAAUAACAUUAGCUUUAUGGGAAUUCACUUCUUCCUUUUUCUUCUUGAAUCUGCAAUCACUUUGGCGAUGGCCUUUCUUACCACAAAAGAAACAAUUUCCAGAAAACUUUUGUGUGCUGGACUUCUUGAAUUUCUUGUCAUUCUUGACUUUAAAAUUCUUUGAGAAUUUACUAGCUUCAACAACAUUAACUUUAGUAUAAUCAUGCUUAUCCUUGGAUUCACGAGACCUAGUCUCUUCUUCAAUUACCAAGUGUUUUUGCAAUUCUUCUAAAGUUAUGUUCUCUUUACUAUGAAGGAGUUUCUUUCUAUAAUCAUUCCAACUUUGAGGCAAUUUAGCAAUAAUAGCCCCAACUUGAAAUGAUUCAGAAAUUUCAACUUUUAACUCUCGAAGCUUAGCAACAAUAAUUUGUAACUCAUGUAUUUGAUCAAGAAUGGAUUUUGUGUCUACCAUAAUAAAUUCAAAAUAUUUAGAUACAAGGAAUUUGUCAGUACCUUCUUUCUCCGUUUUGUAUUUGUAUUCAAGAGCAUUCCAAAUUUCCACCGGAGAAGUCAUAGAAUUGUAGAGAUCAUAUAAUCUGUCAGAAAGCGUAUUGAGUAUGUGACCCCGGCAUAUCAAUUCAUCAUCUUCACGACGUUUCCUUGCAGCCUUAACAACUUCGGUAUCAUCUUCUCUUGGUUCUGGAAAUGGUUCCAAUUUCGGAUCAAGAACAUAUGCCACUUUAAGAACAGUAAGGAGAAAGAACAAUUUUCCCUUCCAACGAGUGAAAUUAGUUCCAUCAAAACGAUCGAGAUGGACACUAGGAUUCAGAAAUGAUGUCAAACUCUUCUCAAAAUGCAUCGAUUUACAAUUGAAAUCUUUUCAAUCUUGCUAACCGUUUUCCAAUUGACAACUUUCUGGAAAUAAACGGUUAGCCGUUUUCUCAAUAAACGGUGAGCCGUUUAUUCUAGGACAUAAAACAUGCUCUCUGGACUUAAACGGUAAGCCGUUUUCACCAUAAACGGUGAGCUGUUUAUUCCAGAACAAAAAACAUGCUCUCUGGACUUAAACGGUUAGUCGUUUUCUCAAUAAACGGCAACCCGUUUUCGUCCAGAAUAUCAAACCAAACAAAUUUGAAAGAUGUUACAAUCUCUCUUACAAACUCUUGUUAACACCCCUUUAAACCUCAAGAGACUCAAAUCAUCUCUCCCACAAAAUUCCUCCAUUCACCUUCUUGAAAUUCCUUUCAACAGCAUAGAGCAUGACCUCCCUCCUUGUACUGAAAACACAGACUCUAUUCCACAUCAUCUCUUUCCAAGAUUCCUUCAAGCAUCAGCAUCGCUCGAACCCCACUUCAAGAAACUAAUCUCUGAACUUGUCAAUGAACAAAAUGGCCAAAAACCACUUUGUAUCAUCACUGAUACGUUCUUAGGCUGGUGUAAAGAGACAGCACAAGAGUAUGGUAUUUUUCAUGCUAUAUUCAUAGGAGGUGGUGGCUUUGGCUUUGCUUGUUUCUACUCUUUGUGGGUAAACUUGCCUCAUCGGAAAACGGAUGCCGAUAAAUUUCUGUUGCCGGAUUUUCCUGAAGCUUCAACACUUCAUGUAACUCAGAUGUCACUUUCCUUACGUGCUGCCGAUGGAAGCGAUUCUCUUUCAGUGUUGUCUAAGGAGCUGUUUCUUCAAUGGAAGGAUGCUGACGGAAUUUUGGUUAACACGGUCGAAGAACUUGACAAGAUUGGACUGAUGUAUUUCAAGAGAAAAUUUGGCCGGCCGGUUUGGCCAAUAGGACCUGUUCUUUUGUCCACGGAAAGCAGAGGUGGGGCCGGAAAAGAGUACGGAAUCUCUGCAGAGUUGUGUAAAAAAUGGCUUGAUACAAAGCCGUACAGUUCAGUUCUGUAUGUGUCAUUUGGUUCGCAAAACACAAUAGCCGCAUCACAAAUGAUGCAAUUGGCAAUGGCUUUAGAGGCCAGUGGCAAGAAUUUCAUUUGGGUUGUUAGGCCUCCGAUUGGCUUUGACAUAAAUUCUGAGUUUAAAGCCAAAGAGUGGCUGCCUCAAGGAUUUGAAGAAAAAAUCAAAGGUUCAGGACAAGGGCUAGUGGUACACAAAUGGGCGCCUCAGGUGGAGAUUUUAUCUCAUAGGACUAUAUCUGCAUUUUUAAGUCACUGCGGAUGGAACUCUGUGCUUGAAGCUUUGAGUCAUGGGGUGCCCAUAAUUGGGUGGCCAUUAGCAGGAGAGCAGUUUUAUAAUUCUAAGCUGUUGGAAGAAGAGAUUGGGGUUUGUGUCGAGGUUGCAAGAGGGCUUACGUGUGAGGUUUUGAAGGAGGACUUGAGUGCAAAAAUUGAGUUGGCGAUGAAUGAGACUGAGAAAGGAACAGACUUGAGAAACAAAGCUAAAGAGGUGAAGGUGAUUAUUAAAAAUGCUGUAAGAAACGAAGACAAUUUUAAGGGGCCUUCUGUGAAAGCCAUGGAUCAGUUCUUGAAUGCUGCAUUGAUUAUGAGACAGAUGGAAAAGGGUGCAUCAAAGAAUGAGGUCUGAUUUGCGUGGAAGGAAGUCUCUGUUGCCAUUUCUGUCAAUGAAAAAUAAUGGAAUCUUUUGACGAGACAAUUAUGGGAAAUUUCUUCUAGUAACGUUAUCUUUGUAUUAACUUUCAAUCAAUCACGUAAAAUUUAAUUUAAUAAAAAUUAAUCCCAUAACUGAAAGAGCCACCUCUGUUUUUGUGGCUGCAUCUUUCCAAGAAUUUGAGUUCAAAGCUUGUUCGUUCCGAGUGGGAUCAAGCAUUUAUAGAGCUAAUUCAUUAUCUCAAUAAAUAAAAGUUGGAUUGGGCCGGAAAACCAACGCCCACAAUCCAAAUCAAGCCCAACGCAAACAACGUCAUUUGGGCCGGUUUGAUUAGAGGAACUCAAUCCAUUUCAACUUUAGGUUGGGUUUGCGUUGAUGAUUUUCACAAAAUGAUUUAUCGAUAAAUUAAUGUUAAAGAAAAAUAAAUGGGGGGAAAUCUGCAUCCCUUCAUUUACCGGUGGAACCUUCAUCGUGAAUGAUCAAGCUUCUGAUCGUGGCUAUAACGGUAUUCAUAAGUUUCGGCUAAAUCGGAUCGCCGCCAUUAAAAUUUUUUAAGUACUUGUAUCUUAGUUUUUACCAAUAAUGUUAAAAUGUUGGAGGAAAUUAAAUUAAAUUAUUCCUAGGUGCAGAAGGAGAUGGGAUUCUAUAACUAAAUGUUGAUGGUGAUUAGAGAAAAGAGUUAUUGCAAAUAGGGACGCUAAUCGGAGAAAGCAAAAAUACCCUAAACUAUAAAAACACUCAGUUUGGCAAUGAUGUAUAUGAGUGAUGAUAUAUGUACAAACUCUUAUACAAACUUAUUUUCUAUAAACUAAUUUAGUAUUAACUCAUUGGUUGAAUAAAAAUAUAAAAUAAUAAAAACAAAUCAUAUGAACCAAGAGAUAUCUAAUUCAACCAAUUAAAUUAUGCUACAUUGUUUGUAUAAAAAAAAAUUAUACAAGAAUUUGUAGUUAUAUUAUUACUUGAUGUAUAUUAUUUUAUUUAUUGAAAUUUGUUUUAAUGUAUAUUGUAUUCAUCUAAUUUACUUGCAUGCAAAAUAAAUUGUAAUAUAAUAUUUUAAAUUAAUUAAAAUAAUAGUAAUUUUCCAUUACAAUAAUAAAUCGUAUUUACCUAUGAAGACACAAUUUAUGCCAUUAUCAUAUUAAAAGCACAUAUAUUCUCUGUCUGCAAUGAAGACCCCUUCAAAGCUAACAUUGGUCAUAGGCAUUAAAUGUCGAUUGAGACCCCGUAUAAAUGGACUUUACAACUCUACAUCAUGUACAUAAGCAUGAAGCUAGGACACCUCACUCGUACUAUUUUCCAACCCACUCUGCUGUACCGUACAUCCGCCUUAAAAAAAAAAAAGUAUUCAGCUUUCUAUUUAUGCUCAAGUCUUAGCCUAUAAUCUUUAUUAAUGUGUCCGCCUGUUUUCACUAUUCAACCCAUUUAUCUUUUAAAAUUAUUUGAAUAACUUGCAAUUAAAAGCCUAAUAGCCCUAAUUCCAGUAUGUGGGGAAAGAAAUUUUGGAGAGCAUUAUAAUAGAACUAUUGAACAACGUUAUCAACUCAAAAAAAUCCGCCAUCGACAAUUGUAAAUGAUGCUAAUAGAAUACAUUUAUUAUGAACGAAAGAUAUAACUUUGGUAGUUUGUAUUAUUUUUUAUUUUUUAAAUUACCCCGAUAGGAUAAAUUUCUGGCUUCAACCCUUGUUAAAGUAACUCGUGUUAUUUCAAUGAAAGCCAAAGACAAAUAUUAUAACUAACUAUUUUUAUUCUUUUUAGUUAAAACUUAGCGGUUUGAGGAAAUUUUAUCAACUAUGAAAUAUAAAAGGAAAUACCAAAUCCGGAGAGUUUAAAUGAGCAUCAGCCCCCAACAAAAUUUAAGAAACCUCAAAUACGAAACCGUGAAUGUACACACCUAAAUCGUACACCUGAACUGUUAGAUGUUACUAUAGCCUUUAAAUCAAUGGUCCUCAGUUUUUUUUUAAUUCUAUUCAACUGGCUCUGAAUUCUGAUGGCGACAAAAAACUUAAGCUUUCAUAAGCAAUUAUGAACAAUACUGACUUUUAUUUUUGAACACUGAUAGUGUGUUUGAAUUAUAUAUGAUAUCACCCCACUCUCCUUCUCCAAUGACACAAAGGAAAGAGAACGUGAAAAUGUUCCCAUUCAUGGCACAAGGCCAUAUAAUCCCAUUCCCAGCAUUAGCCCUUCACUUAGAAAGCACAAAUAAAUACACCACAACUUUUGUUAACAACCCACUUAAAAUGAAGAAACUCAAAUAAUCUCUCCCUCAAUGCUCCUCCGUUCACUUUCUUUGAAAUUCCCUUCAAUAGCAUAGAUCACGAUCUCCCUCCUUGUACUGAAGACACGGCUUCUCUUCCAUUUCAUGUCGUUGGAAAACUCCUUGAAGCUACUUUAUCCUUUAAACCCCAUUUCAAGAUACUCAUCGUUGAUUUUAUUGAUGAACAAAAUGGCCACAAACCGCUUUGUAUCAUCACAGAUAUGUUCUUUGGUUGGUGCAAAGAGAUAGCACAAGAGUACGGUACUUUCAUGCUAUAUUUAUAGCAGGUGGUGGCUUUGGCUUCGCAUGUCACUACUCUUUGUAGGUAAACUUGCCUCAUCGGAGCACAGAUUCCGAUGAAUUUUUGUUGCCGGAUUUUCCUGAAGCUUCAACAAUUCAAGUAAACCAGCUGGCAUAUUAUCUAAGAGUUGCUGAUGGAAGUGAUUCUAUUUCAACGGUUCUACAGAAAGUGCUUCCUGAAAGGACUAAUGCUGAUGGAAUUUUGGUUAACACAAUAGAGGAACUUGACAAGAUUGGACUAGUGUAUUUCAAGAGCAAAUUUGGCCGACCAGUUUGGCCAAUAGGGCCUGUUCUUCGGUCUACAGGAAGCAAAGCUGGAGCCGGCAAAAGAACAUGGAAUCUCCGCGGAGUUGUGUAAAAAUUGGCUCGAUACAAAGUCAUGCAUAUCAGUUCUUUAUGUAUCGUUUGGUUCACAAAACAAAAUAGCUGUUUCGCAAAAGAUGCAAUUGGCAAUGGCUUUAGAUGCUAGUGGCAAGAAUUUCAUUUGGAUUGUUAGGCCUCCGAUUGGCUUUGACAUAAAUUCUGAGUUUAAAGCCAACGAGUGGCUGCCUGCUAGUGGCAAGAAUUUCAUUUGGAGCAAAAGAUGCAAUUGGCAAUGGCUUUAGAUGCUAGUGGCAAGAAUUUCAUUUGGAUUGUUAGGCCUCCGAUUGGCUUUGACAUAAAUUCUGAGUUUAAAGCCAACGAGUGGCUGCCUCGAGGAUUUGAAGAAAGAGUCAAAGGUUAAGGACAAGGGCUAGUGGUACACAAAUGGGCACCUCAGGUGGAAAUUUUAUCUCAUAAGUCAAUAUCUGCAUUUUUGAGUCAUUGCGGAUGGAACUUGAUCUGCGCUCGAAGCUUUGUGUCAUGGGGUGCCGAUAAUUGGGUAGCCAUUGGCAGCAGAGCAGUUUUAUAAUUCUAAGUUGCUUGGAGAAGAGGUUGGGGUUUGUGUGGAGGUUGCAAGAAGGAUGAAUUGUGCCGUUUGAAAGAGCACAUAGUGGUAAAAAUGGAACUGGUAAUGAAUAAGACUGAGAAAGGAGAAGCAGUGAGAAUGAAUGCUUUAAAAGUUAAGGAGAUUACUGACAAUGCUUUUACAAAUGAAGAAAAUUGUAAGGGAUCUUCUGUGAAAGCCAUGGAUGGAUUCUUGAGUGCAGCAUUGAUAAUGAGGGAGAUGAAAUAGAGAGGAUCAAAUAGUGAGGUUUGCUGGAUGCAUGUUGAGUGCUUCUUGGUUUCUUUUGGCAUUUCUAUAUCUUUUAAUGAGACAUAGUUUUGGGGAAAAAUCACGAGUAAUCGUUGUUGUUGUUUUUAAUUUUUUAAUUUUUAAUUUUUGUUUUUUUUUUUUUUUUUGCUGCGUGUUGUGUGUCUUUUAGUAAAUCAUGAAAAUAUUCUCACACGUUAUACAAAAAAAAAGUGAAUAAAAAUGAAGCAAUGCUUCUGACGCAUAUUGAUUUUAUGGUUGCUCUUAGACACUUUUUAAGAUUUGCUUUGCUAUUUUGGUACAUAAUAGAAAUUUAUCAACACUUUAAUCUAACAACAGAGGUCCAUAGAUAUUAAUGGUGGAGUCACCUCUGUUUUUUCCCGUAUUAGCCUGUGUAUUUGUGAACAAUGUUAUAUAUAUACACACACACACAUACGCCCUUUGCUACAAAAUUUGGCACUAAACUUUUUGGUGACUUAAUUUAUUAAGAAUUUUUUUUUUAUUGCAUGAGACUAUUGUUCAAACUACAACUCAUAUUACAUGAGACUAUAACUGAUAUUAAUAAAUCACACUAUUAAUGGGACCAACAUACAUCAAUGCUAAUGGAACUCUACCCAAAUUUUAACCAUCACUAAUAUUCGAGGGAUUUACAUCAAUGUUAAUGGAGCUCUACCCAGAUUUUAACCCUCAUUAAUAUUCGAGUGAUGUCUACUCCAUUCACUCUGGGACCAACUUACAUCAAUGCUAAUGGAGCUCUGCCCAAAGUUUAACCUUCACUAAUAUUCGAGGGAUGUCCACUCUACUCACUCUGGGACCAACUUACAUCAAUCACUAAUAUUCGAGGGAUAUCGACUCCACUCACUUUGGGACUAACUUAUAUCAAUGCUAAUGGAGAUCUGCCUAAAGCUCUGCCCAGAUUUUAACCCUCGCUAAAAUUUGAGGGAUGUCUGCUCCACUCACUCUGGGACUAAUUUACAUCAAUCACUAAUAUUCGAGGGAUGUCUACUCCACUCUUACAUCAAUGCUAAUGGAGCUCUACCCAGAUUUUAACCCUCACUAAUAUUCGAGGGAUGUCUACUCUACUCUUACAUCAAUGCUAAUGGAGCUCUGCCUAGAUUUUAACCCUCACUAAUAUUUGAGGGAUGUCUACUCCACUCACUCUCGGGUAACAGAAAAGACUACAUUCACUUAAUUAUACAAUAUAAUUAAGGAAGGAAUUACCCUCACAUUGCACUUGUAGGGGUUCAAACUGCUACCCACCAACUUGGAGGGCAACAGCCCUAACCACUCGGCUUUGGCUGAGUGGCUAUAUUUAUCAAGAAUUUAAAUUACUUAAGAGUGGCUAUACUUAAAGGUGUUUUUUUUUUUUUGAAUUUUCCUUACUGAAAAAUAAAAAUAUAAUUAAAACAAAAGAAAAAAAGUCCUAACAAAUUCCACAGUAGCCACCGAUCAAAUGCCCCUCAUUUACUUAGAAUCAAAUUCAUCAUGCUCUAAUUUUGUAAAUCUACAUACACAAAAAAAAAGGAUAUAAAGAUGCAAAUUGGUACUGAAAUUUUAGAAUAUCAAACUUCAAUAUACAAGACAAUAUGAUUUUUUUUUUUUUGGUACUACAAUUAACUAAUUAGUUAGUUAAGUAGAAAUCUAAGUAGUUAUCUUGGAAACAACGUGGCUUUUGCUUACGGGAUAGACAUCAGCAAGUUUCAACGACUUUAAAUCAUCGUGAAAAUCACAAGGUUUACUUCUAGGCGUAUUCUUAUUGGCUUUACAUUUACAUGCAGUGAUGAAAUAAGUAGGUGUUUUGGUCGGCAGUCUGGGAAUUUAUUGAUAAUGUCAACUAGUAACGACGAGUUAGCUUUUGGUGGCUUGAGAUGGUGACUAUGAUAGUGGAAGGUGGCUAGACUUCAUGGAAUUAGCUUUUGCUCUAUUUUCCAAUGAUAGCAAGAUUGGCCCCAUUGGCCAAACUGACAAGCCUAGCUUUCUCUUCAAGUACAUGAAUGCAAUCUGAUCAAACUCUUCAAUGUUAUUACACAAAAUCCCGUUAGAAUUCACCCACGCAGGAAAAUUUUCACCUUGAAACAAAGACCAAGAAUCUGUCCCAUCAGCCUCUAACAUAUUCAAGGUUAAUUGGGAUUUAUGAAUCCUUGAAGCCUCUUCAAAAUCUGGUAACAUAAACUCAUCUGAAGUAACUUUUUUGUGAGGAAGAUUUGUCCAAAAGGAAUAGUAACAAGCCAAGCCAUAGCUACUAGCACCACUAAAAAUUGCAUGAAACACAUUAAACAUCCGUAUAAAUGUAACAAUUUGAAAAGAUUUGUCCAAAAGGAAUAGUAACAAGCCAAGCCAUAGCUCACUCUUAUCUCCAUGUUUGUCUGUCCUACGUUAUAAGGUGCGAUUGUCUUUUUGUUGAGAUUUUUUCUUUGGAAAAAAUCUAAGGUGCUUCAGGUGCAUUAUUAUGUUUCUGUUUAUUUCUUGUUAUGUAUAUAUAAUCGAUUAGUUAUGAAAACAUCCGUAUAAAUGUAACAAACGAUGAAAGAGAGUACUCUGAACUCAUAUUUUGAACUCAUAUUUUUAUAUUAAUAAUAUGUUCCAUAGGCAUUCUUUAUUUAUUUUUUAUUUUUAAGAUGAGGAGAAUUAAAAUAUAAAUUUUAACCUCAAUUUUUUUCCUUAAAAAUUAAACUUGAGUGAUCAACCAAAUAAAGAUUCUAAAAAUUGAAUUUGGCUGACUCAUGGGACUUCCAUUAAAGUCAUUUGUUGAUGAAGAGGACUAGCCAAUUUUUGAGCUAACGUUUGACGAUGAUUGUAAUCCUGAUUUUAGAUUAAGGAAUAAAAUAUGCAAUUUAUGUGUUGAGUUUUUCGGAAUAAACUUAUUGUAGCUUUUGUGGAGAUUACGAAAUUGUUAACAUGGAAGAGUUAAAGAUAUGUCAUGUCCAUUUAGACAAAAUUACAUAAUUGGUCAAGAGUGUGGAUGAGUGGUUUUCAAUCGAUUUUAUUUAGCUAGCCAUCCGAAUCUAAAUCUUAAGAAAAGUAAGGGACUGAAAAUUAAUUUAAACUUUAUUCAUCCCUUAUCAUUUAAAAAAUAUAAUAAAAUAAAUUAUUUUCAUUUCUUCAUGACGAUGAGUCGACGAUGUUAAGGAACGUGUCCAUGACCAAAUGGCGGACCCAAUUCUUCACCAACUAAUUUCUAGAGAGAAGGAAAUUAAGAGUCCAUAAUUGGAACUCAAAUUGGCCAUACAUCCUGGUAAAAUUAUUCUUAUUGUAUUUAACUAUUUAGUCUAAACUUGACAAUUAUUAGAGAACGCAACGUUAUCUUUAAACAUACCAUUAAUCAGUCCCCAUAACAUACUUCAAACCUCAUUAUUAUUUGAUCAAUCCUCCUCCUUCUGUGCCUUCUUCAUCAUCAACGCAGCAUCCAAGAAUUGUUCCAUGGCUUUUACAGAAGACCCCUUAAACUUUUCUUCAUUUCUAACAGCAUUCUUAAUAAUCAUCUCAACCUCAGAAGCUUUCUUUCUCAAGUCCAUUCCUUUCUCAGUCUCAUUCAUCACCAACUCAAACUUUGCACUUAAGUUCUCUUUCGAAACCUCACAAUUCAUCCCUCUAGCAACCUCCACACAAACCCCAAUCACUUCUUCAAGCAACUUAGAAUUAUAAAACUGCUCUGCUGCCAACGGCCACCCAAUUAUCGGCACCCCAUGACUCAAAGCUUCAAGCACUGAGUUCCAUCCGCAAUGACUCAAAAAUGCAGAUAUUGACUUGUGAGACAAAAUCUCCACUUGAGGUGCCCAUUUUUGGACCACUAGCCCUUGUCCUGAAUCUUUGAUUCUUUCUUCAAAUCCUUCAGGCAGCCACUCAUUGGCUCUAAAUUCAGAGUUCAAGUCAAAACCAAGUGGUGGCUUAACAACCCAAAUGAAGUUCUUGCCACAAGCCUCUAAAGCCAUUGCCAAUUGCAUCAUUUGUGAUGCAGCUAUUGUGUUUUGUGAACCAAACGAGACAUAAAUAACUGAAUUGCAUGGCUUGGUAUCAAGCCAAUUUUUACACGACUCUGUGGAGAUUCCGUACUCUUUUCCUGCCCCAGCUCUGCUCCCGGUUGACAAAAGCAGGGGCCCAACUGGCCAGACGGGUCGGCCAAGCUUUCUACUGAAAUAUAUUAGAGGGAAAAGGACAUUCAACCCCCCAACGUUCAGGAAAAUGGAUAAAAAACCCCUGAACGUUUUAAAAAGGACUUAUAACCCCCUUUCCGUUAACAAACACCGUUUGUUUUAAUAGUAAAUUUAUUUUUAAUUUUUAAUUAACAUUAUACCCUUAUAAUAAAAAAAUUAAUAUAUUAAUUUGAGAUAUAUCAUAAUUAAUAAUUUUUUAAAAGCUUAAAGUUGAGAUACACUUAUUUUUUUGCCUAAAUUAUUUACUAUAAAUUAUACCUUUCUAACAAUAAUAAUAUGGUUUUGAUUCCUCAAAGAAAAAAGGUUUAAUCAAAUUUUGUUUUAUUAGUAAUAAUCACAUAUGAAAGGUUUGAUCAUUAGAAAGGUAUACUUUAUAGCAAAUAAUUUGGAUAAAAAUGUAAUUGUAUCUCAAUUUUUAGUUUUAAAAAAUAUUAAUUGUGACAUGUCUCAAAUCAAUAUAUUAAUUUAUAUUUAUUAUAAGGGUAUAAAGUAAUUAAAAAUAAAAAAUAAAUUUACUGUUAAAACAAACGGUGUUUAUUAACGAAAAAGGGGUUAUAAGUCAUUUUGGAAACAUUGAGGGGUUUUUUGUCCCUUUUCCUAAACGUUGGGGGGUUGAAUGUCCUUUUCCCUAUAUUAGACCAAUCUUGUCAAGCUCCUCUACUGUGUUAAACAAGAUUCCAUCGGCAUUCAUCCACUGAGGAAGCACUUUCUGAAAAAAUACUGAAAGUGAAUCACUACCAUCAGCAAGUCUUAAAAACUUUGUCAUCUGAGUUACAUGAAUUCUUGAAGCUUCAGGAAAAUCCGGCAAUAGAAAUUCAUCGGAAUCCCGAUGGGGUAGGUUUAGCCACAAAGAGUAGAAACAAGCAAAGCCAAAACUACCACCUCCUACAAAUAGAGCAUUAAAAAUACCAUAUUCUUGUGCUAUCUCUGCACUCCAUGCAAAGAACAUAUCUGCAAUGAUGCAAACCGGUUUAUGGCCAUUUUGUUCAUCAAAAAGACCAUUGAUGAGUUUCCUGAAAUGGGGUUUAAAUGAUAAAGUGGAUUCAAAGAAAUUUGGAAAGAGAUGAAAAGGAAGAGAAUCAGUGUUUUCAGUACAAGGAGGGAGGUCAUGAGCUAUGCCAUCGAAGGGAAUUUCACGAAGGUGAAUGGAGGAGUUUUGAGGGAGAGACGAUUUGAGUUUCUUGAGGUUUGAAGGGGUGUUAACAAAAGUUAUAGUGUAUCUGUUUGUAUUCUCCAGGUGAAGGGCUAAUGCAAGGAAUGGGAUUAUAUGGCCUUGUGCCAUGAGCGGGAACAUCACUAUGUUCUCUUUUCUUUGUGCCAUUCUUGUUAAUAGGAAAAAAGAGCAGUGAGUACAGGAUGAGGUAAAGAAGAUGCGUGGGGUGUGUGAUACACAUACACACGGCUUUUAUAACAGUUAGAAGAAUUUAGCGUACGUUAAGAAUUAAUCUUAAGCUAAUACUAUUGGUUCAAACAGGUACAUAUAAUAAAGAGAAAAUUAAAAAGAAAAUUAAUAAUAAUAAUAAUGCUGCAGACAGGAACUCUGUGAAACUUUCCUAAGCGACGUGUCAAAAAUUUGACCGCAUUACUCCACCCAUCGACCCCAACCAAUCCAAGGUUAGUGUGAGGGGAAUUCGAACUUUUAAUCUCUUUGAAUUCAAUUAAACAACUGAGUCCUCAGAAUUUUCUCAAAAUUAUUUACUCAGCCCGCCGAGCAAUAAAUUAUACGUUGUCCUCUUGACCUCUUCGAUAAUGAUGGUAUACAAAUUGAUUUGCUGAACUCGGUUUGUUUUAUCUCUCUAUUUCUAUUCUUAUGUCAGCUAACAAACAGGGAUGGUGCUGCCGAUUCCAUUAAAGGGCCAACUGCAGGACACCUCACUCGUACUAUUUUCCAACCCACUCACUCACACUUUUUCAGAUGGAAAACAGGGAUGAUUAAAUUGUUCAAUAAUACUUCAUAGACCUCUUAACUUUCCUCCAGAAAAAUUUAAGAAUCAUACCCACUCCCCUUAUCUACCACUUAUAUACUACAACAAAUAAUAGUAUUACCGGCGAGAUAUUUCCGAGAGUUUUAUUUACUUUUGGUACUAAAUAUUUUUUUUUGCAAAGGUGAAAAAGAACUAUCAAAAAAACAUUAAAAAACUAUUAGCUUUUUCAAGAGCAAAUUGCUAUCGGUAAUAAAUAAUACACCAGUCGGAAGUACAACUAUACAAGGGCAUAAUUAAUGAUAAAUCUUCUCAAGUUCGACCUAAUGUCAGUGAUCUGUUAAAAAUAAAUGAGUGGCUAAUUAAAUUAUGCACUGGCUCUGCUAAUUAAUAAAGAAUCAUAAGUAAAUAACUAAUCACCUGGCCAGUUGGUCCCCUCUUUAUUCUUAAUCUAGAAACAUCGACUCCACUGAACUUCAUGUUACUAACAAAUAAUUGGCCUUGUUGAUCGUCUCCAUACGCCCCGAUCAGCCCACAAGGAACCCCAAAGCCUACGCUAAGCCCUCGAAUAGUAUUGGUGACACUACCUCCAGCUAUUGUCUUUAUAGGAGAGGCUCAUCCAGAAUGUGGGUUUUCACUUCACUCAAUAUAUGCUCAAGCUCUUCAAUUGCAACCUACACAACAUUUUUAAUUUCGAUUUUUUUUCUAGCCACAAAGAAUUGCUUAUGAAAAAAAAUAAUAAUUAAUAUAUAUAUAUAUAUAUAUACGUACAGCAGAUAAAUAGAAAAAAGAAAUCAAGUAGAAUGAAAUUGUUAAAAAUAAAUGAGUAGCACAUGUUGCAGCUGCUGGAGAAUUUAAUAACAAUGUUCCUUAUCUGAGAGUGCACAAUGUGGCUGAAAUUAAGGUAAUGCCUAUAGUGCAGGAAGAGUCAAAGAUUGUCAAACAGACUUCGCUUCAAAAUGAACAAAGGCGGUCGAUGAGAAAUAAAUGCGGAGAAAGUACACUGAAGCUUACUGAUUUCCUUUGACCACUGAAGAUUUCCUUCCUGCCUUUUUAUAGGCUUCCUCUGAAUCUCAGUCCUCCGCUCUUUUCGAGACGGUAUGGGACUUCAACUGCUGCGUUAUGGGCAAAACAUGGGAUCUAGCGUGUUAUGCCACGGUUCAGGGGAAAGCGUGGCUGCCACGGCUCUGUGAGACCUUGCGUGUUACGCCACGGUUCGGGGGAAAGUGUGGCUGUCAUGGCUCUCGGGUCUCCUCGACGACAACAUCGUGGACGAGCAGGAUGUUUCUGAUCCUGUUCUUCCACGCGCUAGGCUUUAACGGAACACAUCGGUUCGCAGAACUCCGCCAUCAGAUGUCUGCUCGUCAUUCCUGGUCCCUUCGACGCAUUUGUCCCAAACAGUAUCCCUCCCAAACAACUAACAUAUUAUUUUCUGUUUGGAUUCUAAUUACUGAAUAUUAUUUGAGUCUACGUUCAAAACCAUGCAUGCUGAGUGUUGGAUAAUCAGGAAAAUAAUACUACUAUGUUUCAAUUUUUUAUUUUUUUUUGGGUUAAUUUAUAUGCAUAUAUAAUUUGACAGCUGAUGAGUUUUCAGUUGAGCUAGCUGAAGGGCUUGCUUUUGUUGCUGCUCGUGAUGAUGAAUCCAAACUCUUUAUGGUAGUUUUACUCUCUUUCAAGGUUUGUGAACAAUUUAUACUUGGCGAUGAUUGAUUCUUCAAGUAGCAAUUAUUUCAUACUCCUUGUUUGGCAUUCUUCAUUGUAUUAUAGUUUAUGGAGAAAGAAGUGAAGAGGUUGAAAAGAAUAGUGAAGCUUGCACUUGGAAACUCAAGUGCACAAGAAUCACCUCUUACGUUACAGAUUGCUAAUUUUCAUUUACUUUCAAGCUUUUUAAAAAUUUUUUUUUUCACUUUCUAAUCCAUAGAAACUAACCAUAACAGGGUUUUGUAACUGAUAGACCAGAUUACCGCAAGCACAUAAAUCCUCUAAUGGCAGUGUUGCAUUUUUCGGCCUCUCUAAAUUUAUAGGUUAGCAAUACUUGCUAAAUUUAGAAUCCAACUCCUGCUGUUGACUUCAAAUAUUAGCAUAUUUUCUUAUUGAUACAAAAUAUUGCUCUAAUGAUUAUUAUCCAUUCCAGUCUCAUAUUUUGUCAGGCUUCUUAAGCAUAUCUUGGAUAUAAUACUUAUGCUUAAUUCUAUACAAACUGAUUGUCGAAAUAACAUACUAUUAUACUAGUUACUGAUUUGAUAAUUUACUGAUUAAUAUUUCUUCGUUGAUCUAGGAUAUUAUUUGGUAUACUAAUGAUGAUGUGGGGAUGGAGCAGAUUCAUAUUUCUUGAUUCAUAUAGGAUAUUAUUUGGUCGAAUGAAGAUGAUGAUGGGAAUGAAGAAGAUGAGGUAGAGGCAAACGUAGGUCUCAGAGACUAAAGAACAUGUGUUGGAGGAUGCUUGAAAUAAUUCAUGCUAUGAAAUCAUUUUGCGUAUACAUUUGAGAUUUUUUUUAAAAAAUAUACUAUUAAAAUUGAUUAUGUUGUACUGUUGAUUGGUGAAUGCAAUUUCUAUAAAUUUUUGAAAUUAAUGAAGCUAUAUUUAAUGUAUUUUGCGUGUUGCUAUUGCUAUUUUGUUGAUUAUGUUGCAUUGGUAAUACAGAUACUUAAAAAGAAUAAAAGUAAAAAGCGUAAUAAAUAAUAAUAUUAAAUAAAUUAAAUGGGUCACUAAAUAAAAAAGAAGAAGCAUAUUUCCAGCGUGUUUCUUGCAUUUUCGAGGGUAAAUUAUGGUUGGAAUAGUAAUCAUUUGUGUUCUCCAGCCUCAUUUCCAAGGGAAGUUAAUGCGAUCUCGAAGGGCAAAUGCAAUUGGAAAUAUGUAAUUUUUGGUUUUAUAGAAUCAUUUUCGAGGGCAUUUGAUGUCAUUUCUGACGGCACGGCUAUUGAAAAUAAUUUUUUUCUCUAACGACCCAUUGAAAGUUGUACUUUUUCGAUGCAACUUAAUACAACGACGGUCGACGGCAUGAUUUUCUCAAAAAUAAGUUUUUCCAAAAGUGUUUGUGUAUUUCCAAGAGUAUUUACCCUUAGAAAUAACCGUUUUUCUUUUAGUGUUAAUCCUCUACUUUUUCUCCUUCUGAUCCUCAUCAACAACAAUGGCACAGAGGAAAGAAACCAUAGUUUUGUUUCCAUUCAUGGCACAAGGUCAUUUAAUCCCUUUCCUGGAAUUAGCCCUUCACCUAGAGAAAACAAAUAAAUGCACCAUAACUUUUGUUAACACCCCUUUGAACCUCAAUAAACUCAAACCUUCUCUCCCUCAAAAUUCCUCCAUUAACCUUUUUGAAAUUCCCUUCCAUAGCAUAGAUCAUAAUCUCCCUCCUUGUACUGAAAAGUGAAAACACUGAUUCUGUUCCUCAUCAUCUAGUUUCCAAACUCAUUGAAGUUACUUUAUCGUUUAAGCCCCAUUUCAAGAAACUCGUCAAUGAUCUUAUUCACUAAACCCAUUAAAUCCAUUUAUGAAUACUUAAUAAAUGUGUCAUGGAAUUUCUUAUAAAUUUAUUAAAAAUCUAGAAAGUUCUAGUAGCUCGUCAACCACUGAACAUUGACUUAAGUUGGCAACACCAUGAUCAAAUAAGAAGAUGACCCAUUCGCCUCAAAACCAAACCAAGAGCUUUAUCUCUCUAAAUAUGUACUAUAAACAAAAAUAAUUAUAAAAAAAGAGUAGAAAACAAAAGACAACUCAAAUAUGAAAUUAUUUUUUAAUUAUAGAAUUUGACAUUGCAACCUAUAAUAACUUGUAAUUAUAUAAGGAUUAAAAAAUCAAUUAAGAAUUUUAAAUUAAAAUAGAUCAAUACAUGUAAUUAUAAUUAAUUAAAAAUUGUAAGUAAAACUUUUAUGCUUGAAGUGAAGUACUAAAUUACCCGACUUAAUAAAUUAAAUAAUUAAAAUUUAUUUAUCCUUUUAAAUUGUAAAAGUAUUUUUAAUCAAAAGUUUUAAUAAUAAACUAAACUCAAUUUAGCAAAAAGAUAUUUGGGUGCAGUUAUUUCUUUGUCAGAUGCUCUAUCUCUCUACUAAACUCAAUUCAGCAAAAAGAUAUUUGGGUGCAGUUAUUUCUUUGUCAGAUGCUCUAUCUCUCUUUAAAGAACUAGAAGUUGAUAAUUCUUCUAUUAAAAGCUCUUAAAAUACUCAAAUUUUAUUUUCUACUUGUCAUCUUAGUUAAUAUAACUAAUAAAUAAAAUCUGAAAAUUCACAUUAAAAUUUUAUGAAAAUAUUGAUAAUUGUUACUAUAUGUUAUUUCUGUAAGUACUUUUAAGUCUAGUGAUGAUGUUAUAUUACAUUGACAUAUAUAUUUUUUAAUUAGAAGCUUUUUAAAAUAAAUUAAAGCAGUAAUAAAAUUUUAACACCCUAAUGUUUUCAAUCUAUUCAAUAAAUAUAUAAUUUAAUCAUUUUAUAAAAUAAGUCACUAAUUUCAAUUGAAAAUAAUAUAAUUGACUUAGGGACACAUUUAUAAAUAAAAUAAAAACUCUAUUAUUAUAUAAAAUUAAUGAAAACAUAUGGGUAAUUGAGUUAGGGACAUAUUUAAAUAUAAAAUGAAAACUCUAUUGUUAUACUAAAUUGAUGAAAAUGUAAGGGUAGUUGAGUUAGGGAUAUAUAUGAAACUAAAAUGAAAACUCUAUUGUUUUAUUAAAUUAUUAAAAAAGUAAGGGGUGUAAAUGAUUUUUUUAAACUAGACCGGGCUACAGCCCGGUCUAGCCCACGUGCAGGUCCGCCACUGCUCAAAACAAAAUAUCACUUCUCAAAUAAGCCAGAUGAUUGAUGUCAAAGAAAAGGACCACAAAUCAAACAAAGAAAAGAGUAACGUCUUUCAAUUUCAGCUAAAUACUUCACACAAACAAAAAAGAGUACAAGGUGGAAAGCACUUACACAACACUAGAGGAGAUAUUUGCAGUAUAAAUGAUCCGAAACAAGGAUAGGGUUUAACAAAAGUAUGUUGAAUGUAAAGAUGGGUUCAAAUAUCAAAAAUUAUUAUUUUUUAUUAUAUUUUAGUAUCCACAAUUGUAAUUUAAUUUAGGCAUAUUUUAAUCAUUAAAAAUUAUUUUCAAAAAUAAGUUUAAUAAGUAAUUUAGUGAGUUUAAAUAACCAUAUCUUCUUAAAUUAUGAAUGUUAUUUGGUCUUUAAAAUGAACCAAAAUUACCAAAAUGACCCCACUCCCCUUCUUUACCUCUUAUUCCUCUGCUUCUUUCUCCUCCGAUGAUCCUCAUCAACGCCAAUGGCGCAAAGAAAAGAGAAUAUAGUGAUGUUCCCAUUCAUGGCACAAUGCCAUAUAAUCCCUUUCCUAACAUUAUCCCAUCGCUUGGAAGAAACAAACAGAUACACCAUAACUUUUUUUAACACUUAACAUCCUUUUAAACCUCAAGAAACUCAAAUCAUCUAUCCCUCAAAAUUCCUCCAUUCACCUUCUUGAAAUUCCUUUCAAUAGCACAGACUACGACCUCCCUCCUUGCACCGAAAAACACAGACUCUAUUCCAUAUCGUCUCUUUCCAAAAUUCCUUCAAGCUUCAUCGUCGCUCAAACCCCACUUCAAAGAAUGCUGCAUUGAUAAUGAAACAGAUGGAAAAGGAAGCAUCAAAGAAUGAGGUCUGAUUUGCGUGGAAGGAAGUCUCUGUUACCAUUUCUGUCAAUGAAAAAUAAUGUAAUCUCUUAACGAGACAAUUCUGGGAAAUUUCUUGUAGUAACGUUAUCUUUUAAUGUAAUAGGCUAGUUAGUGGCAAGAAUUUCAUAUUUCUUUUAUUAAAUAUGAAAUAAAAUAAGAAAUACCAAAUCCGAAGAGUUUAAAUGAGCAUCAGCCCCCGACAAAAUUUGAGAAACCUCAAAUACAAAACCAUAAAUUUACACUCCUAAAUCGUACACCUGAAUUGUUAGAUGUCACUAUAGCCUUUAAAUCAAUUGUCCUCAAUUUUUUUAAUUAUAUUCAACUGGCCCUGAAUUCUGAUGGCAACAAAAAACUUAAGCUUUCAUAAGCAACUAUGAACAAUACUGACUUUUAAUUUUUGAACACUGAUAGUGUGUCUGAAUUAUUUAUGAUAUCACCCCACUCCCCUUCUUCUCCAAUGGCAUAAAGAAAAGAGAACGUGAUAAUGCUCCCAUUCAUGGCACAAGGCCAUGUAAUCCCUUUCCUAGCAUUAGCCCAUCACUUAGAAAGCACAAAGAACUACACCAUAGCUUUUGUUAACACCCACUUAAACAUCAAGAAAAUCAAAUCAUCUCUCCCUCAAAGCUCCCCCAUUCACUUUCUUGAAACUCCCUUCAAUAUCAUAGAUCAUGAUCUUCCUCCUUGUACUGAAAACACGGAUUCUCAUCCAUUUGAUGUUGUUAGAAAACUCCUUGAAGCUACUUUAUCCUUUAAACCCCAUUUCAAGAAACUCAUCAUUGAUCUUAUUGAUGAACAAAAUGGCCACAAACCGCUCUGUAUCAUCACAGAUAUGUUCUUCGGUUGGUGCAAAGAGAUAGCACAAGAGUACGGUAUUUUUCAUGCUAUAUUUAUAGAAGGUGGUGGCUUUGGCUUUGCAUGUUACUACUCUUUGUGGGUAGACUUGCCUCAUCGGAACACAGAUUCGGAUGAAUUUUUGUUGCUGGAUUUUCCUGAAGCUUCAACAAUUCAUGUCAACCAGCUGGCAUGUAUCUAAGAGUUGCUGAUGGAAGAGAUUCUAUUUCAACGGUUCUACAGAAAGUGCUUCCCGAAUGGACUAAUGCUGAUGAAUUUUAGUUAACACAAUAGAGAAACUUGACAAGAUUGGACUAAUGUAUUUCAAGAGCAAAUUUUGCCUACCAGCCUGUUCUUCGGUUUACAGGAAGCAAAGCUGGAGCUGGCAAAGAACACGGAAUCUCCGCAGAGUUGUGUAAAAAUUGGCUCGAUAGAAAGCCAUGCAGAUCAGUUCUUUAUGUGUCAUUCGGUUCACAAGACACAAUAGCUGUUUCGCAAAUGGUGCAAUUGGCAAUGGCUUUAGAGGCUAGUGGCAAGAAUUUCAUUUGGAUUGUUAGGCCUCCGAUUGGCUUUGACAUAAAUUCUGAGUUUAGAGCCAACGAGUGACUGCCUUGAGGAUUUGAAGAAAGAGUCAAAGGUUCAGGACAAGGCCUGGUGGUACACAAAUGGGCAUCUCAGGUGGAAAUUUUAUCUCAUAAGUCAAUAUCUGCAUUUUUGAGUCAGUGCGGAUGGAACUCAAUCUGCGCUUGAAGCUUUGAGUCAUGGGGUGCCGAUAAAUGGGUGGCCAUUGGCAGCAGAGCAGUUUUACAAUUCUAAUUUGCUUGGAGAAGAGGUUGGGGUUUGCGCGGAGGUUGCAAGAGGGAUGAAUUGUGCCGUUUUGAAAGAGCACAUAGUGGUAAAAAUUGAACUGGUAAUGAAUGAGACUGAGAAAGGAAAGCCAAUGAGAAUGAAGGAUUUAGAAGUUAAGGAGAUUAUUGACAAUGCUUUUAGAAAUGAUGAAAAUUUAAGGGAUCUUCUGUGAAAGCCAUGGAUGGAUUCUUGAGUGCAGCAUUGAUAAUGAGGGAUAUGAAAUAGAGAGGACCAAGGAAUGAGGUUUGCUGGAUGCAUGUUGAGUGCUUCUUUCUUUCCUUUGGCAUUUCUAUAUCUUUUAAUGAGACAUAGUUUUGGGGAAAAAUCACUAGGAAUCGUUGUUGUUGUUAUUUUAUUUUAUUUUUUUUGCUGCGUGUUGUGUGAAGUGGUGAAAAAACUGCUCAACCUAACCUUUCAACGAACACUCCCCAAGAUCCUCGAUUAGAAUCAACAAGAUGCUUAAGAGAUGAUCUGAAUCACUAAUAAAGAAUCCAUGUAUGAACAAGAUGAUGACUGAUUCAGAAAUGAUCAAAGAAUUAAUCAACAAUUCAAAGAGUCACAGAAGAGAGCUAUUAACGUGGCUCAGUCAAUUUGCAUUGACCUACAUCCACGAGGGUAUUGAUUGAUUCAAGCCACAUUUACACAGAGUUUUACAGAGCAUAUCAAGGAACAAGAAAACCGCACACGCACCAGCUAUCUCUCUCUCUCUCUCUCUCCCGAAUGCUCUCGAAUCCCCUGUUUUUCACACCAGAUGCAGCUGUGUAGAUAGCCGUUAACGAACCCAGAAAACUUUUCCAGGAGCGCACGUGUUUGUCAUGUGAAUUAACGGCCUCGUAACAGCUUUUCAAGUCACGUGCAUUGCGUAUGCUUUAUUAAUCUGAAAACGGCAAAGCUUCUGUUCGUUUAAGCUAGCAAAUUAAAUGUACAUCAAAACACAGAUCUUGCUUGUCGUUUUGCCUUAGUCAUAGACAUACCAAAACCCAAAUCACCUCUGUCGUUUUGAUCUCUUUGAUUUGCUUCACUAGUUUACACAACAUCGUGUGUCUUUUAGUAUAUCAUGAAAAUAUUCUCACACGUUAUAAAAAAUGAAUAAAAAUGAAGCAAUGCUUCUGACGCAUAUUGAUUUUAUGGUUGCUCUUAGGCACUUUGUAAAGAUUUGCUUUGCUAUUUUGUUACAUAAUGGAAAUUUAUCAACACUUUAAUCUAAUAACAGAGGUCCAUAUAUAUUAAUGGUGCAGUCACCUCUGUAUUUUCCUGUAGUAGCCCGUGUAUUUGUGAACAAUGUUUUUAUUUUUAUUUUUUUAAUACGCCCUUGGCCACAAAAUUAGGCACUAAACUUUUCGGUGACUUAUAAUACUUAUCAAGAAUUUGAAUUAAUUUAGGAGUGGUGAUAUUUGAACCCUUCAAUUUCUCUAUCCAAUUCUCAUUUUUCUUAAUUAAUGUCAUUUAUUUUUUGAAUUACCCGUAUUGAAAAAUAAAAAAUAUAAUUAAAACAAAAGCAAAAAAAGUGCUAACAAAUUCCACAAUAGCCACCGAUCAAAUUCCCCUUAUUUAUUUAGAAUCAAAUUCAUCAUGCUCUAAUUUUCUAAAUCUACAUACACGAAAAGAAAAAAAAUAUAUAAAGAUGCAAAUUAGUACUGAAAUUUUAGAAUAUCAAAGUUCAAUAUACAAAAUAAUAUGAAUUUUUUUUUUUUUUUUGGGUACUACAAUUAACUAAUUAGUUAGUUAAGUAGAUAUCAAUGUAGUUAUCUUGGAAACAACAUAGCUUUUGCUUACGGGAUAGACAACAGCAAGCUUCAACGACUCUAAAUCGUCGUGCAAAUCACAAGGUUUAAAUUCUAGUCAUAUUCUUAUUGGCUUUUACAUUUACAUGCAGUGAUGAAAUAAUUAGGUUUUUUGGUCGGCAGUUGGGGGAUUUGUUGAUAAUGUCAUCAAGCAACGACGAGUUAGCAGUUUGGUGGCUUGAGAUGGUGACUAUAAUAGUGGAAGGUGGCUAGAGUUUAUGGAAUUAGCUUUAUAAAAGUAAUUGAUAAUGAAAAAUAAAUAAAUAAAUAAAGGUGAGGGGUGGUGAAAGAAAGUGAGGAGGUGAAAUAUCGCCAGUCAUACUUUAUAAUAAUAUAGGGCUUUCAGUAACAAUAAAGUUGGAAUCGAAAGCCCACGCCCACACCCUAAAUCAAACCCAGCGCCAAUCACAUCAUUUGGGUUGGUUUUCGAUGUUAGAAAUCCAGCCCAUUUUAAUGGUAGGCUGGACUAAGUUGAAUUUGACAAAAGCGGGGUUUUAACUCUCUCGCAAAACUCUUAUGAAGCCUUCCCUUCGUACUUAUAUCUCUUUCUUUGAUAAAAGUUAUAAAAAAGGAUCAAUAAAUUACAAUAAAUUUUGAAUUAAAUUUUACUAUUUAAAUUGUGAACAUACUAUUUCAAACUAAAAUACUUAUUAUUAGAUAAUUUAUUUCUUCAUUGAUUCAAAAGUAUAAUGAUUUUUAUAUAUUAAAGAAAAGUUAUUUAUAUAUAUGUUAGGAUUCAAUCAUUCAAAGAGAGUUAGAUCCAUUAUUUGUCCUUCAAUAUAAUAGAACUAUGAUUAUAAAAAUGGGUUUUCAUAAGAAUAUUAAAAGGGUGUGAAAACUGAAAAGUAUUACUCGCUCACAAACUCAUACGACCCAAGCCCAUGUAUUUAAUAUAUAUAUAUAUAUAUAUAAUGAUUUUAUUGAUAAAUUAGCAUGAAAGAAAAAUAAAUGCCAACUAUUUAUUUUGGUAUAAUUGGAAAUUUGCAUCUCUUGAUUUAUCAUUGGCACUUAGGGUUGGGCAUAGAUUGGGUUUGUGAAAAUCAACCCAAUCUACUAUUGAAUAGAUUGAGAUAAAUUCAACCUAACCUAAUUAAAUAAACAAAAUCAAUGGGUUGAGUAAGGUUGGAUUGAUCGGGUUGAAGAUUAAAUCAAAAUUAAAAGUUUAAUAAAGAAAAAAGAUGUAAAACUUAAAAUGAAACUUAUUAAAAUUAAAUAUAAAUCUAUUAUAACAUGAAAUUUCAUUCACCAUUGAGUGUUCGAUAAAGAAAGUUAAAAGAUUAGCUAUCUAAAAAUUUCAAUGAUGAGCUCUUCGACUUUAUUCCUGGUUCCUCGCAUCUCUUUUUCAAACUCUAAGUUUAGACCUUUUAGAUAAUUAAUUAGCAUCAUUUUCAAUAACAAAAUGAAAGUGGUAUAUAAUAAUAUAAAAUAAAUAUUUAUUAAAAAAUAAAGAGAAAUUGAAAUCAACUUACUUUCAAAAUUAUACUUAAAAGAUAAUAAAUUCACUUAUAUGAGAGAGAGAUUUUAGUUUUGGAAUUAGACUUUAGAGCAACAAAUACGAGAAUGAAAUAGUCUUUUCGAUAUAAAAAUAAAAAGAGUUAAAAAUUAGGUUAGUCGUUUAGGUUUUCAGGAUUUUACAGUUGAGGAUUAAUAUGUGUGUGUAUUUGCAAAUGUUGAAUUAGGUUAGGCAAAUUCAUUAUAAUUAACCCAACCCAACCCAAUUAUUAAUUAAGUUCUGAAAAUUGACCUAAUUAACUUAUAACAAUCCGCUCAACUCAUCAAACUUAAAUUGGGUUGGAUCAAGUCUAUUGGGUUAGAUUAGGUUUGCCCACCCCUAAUGGCGCUACCACCAUCAAUGAUUAAGUUUAUGAUAGUCGCUAUAAUGAUAUUUUUAAGUUUCAGCAGAAUUGGAUCACCACCAUUGAAUUUUUUAGUUAUUUUUAAAUUAAUUUUUUUCCUAAGAGGAUAAUACACUAAAAAUUAUUGAGUCUAAAAGAAAGAAAGUGAACUAACUUUAUUUAUUUCCUUUAUCGUUUAUUUAUACAUUUAAAUCCAAGUGUUUUAAAAAAUAGUUCAAAUAUUACUUUUCUUGAAAUUUUGGUUCAAUCACAUGCCGUAAAUUUCAUUUUGUGAAGCCCAAUGUUUAUGGGAGAUUUUUAUAUCUCUAACACAUCCAAUAUAUGAAAACAAAAUUCAUAAAAAUGUACUUUUCCAAAACAUAUGUAUUUAGAUAUCUAUUAUUGUCAAUUUUUAAUUAUUUUUCCCAUUUAUUUAUUUAAUAUUGCGUUUAUGUUCGCUUAAAUAUUAUAGGAGAUAUUAAUAUACACACAAUAAUAUCAAAUUGUUGGAGGAAAUGAAAUUUAAAUUAUUGGACAAGUGAGAGUAAUUUUUUUAUAAUGGUAUUUCUCUAUUAGAAUAAAUAAAAUUAAAUAAAUAAAAUGGUAUUUCUCUAUUAGAAUAAUAAACUGUUUUCGUCUAUACAUCAACCAAAUUUGAGCUUACUACGAUGCUAUUGUCAUAUUUAAGUACAUUAUUUUUUGUCCGGAAGACUCUCCAAAACUAACAUAGAGUCAACAAAUCUACAUCAUAUAUUCCCAAAAAGAUUUGCAAAAUUAGUGUUAAGAAGCUACGCAGCGUGAAGUCAACUUGAAGUUAUGCAUGCCUCCGCUGCGAAAUCAGAUAUUAAAAAUUCUUGUUGAUUACAUCGAUCUUGAAUUCGAAGUUCAAAUUGCCAACUAGUUAUGAGUUGGGUCACGAACUUCAUGGAGUUUGGGUUUGGGCCAAAAACCCGUCUGGCAGCCCAAAUGAAAUCAACAUUUACAUUUUUCUUUUUCAAUUCCUAAAUUGUGGAUAGACCUAUCACCUAUAGUCAAUAUGCGACGGCUACUAAAUUAAGGCGAGGAAGGAGAAUUAUUUUCUUUGUUAUUCUCGAUUAGGUGGGUUAGCUCACAUCAAAAUCAAUUCAUUGCUUCACAAUUUUAUGACGUUAGAAAUUUCUAUUAGAAAUUGUAUACUUCAAUCAUUUAAAAAAAGAAAAAUCCUAUAUAGGAUUCCAAUUCUAUCACUUCAAAAUUCCACCUAAUCCCCUAACAACUACAAGUCAAUUUAUGCUAGCAAUAGAAAAAAAAUAAAAAAAUAAAACCCAUCUGACAAUUUAUUCAAACAUCAAUUUCACAUAUAGUUACAAACUUUCUUGGCUCUUCAUUUAGGCUGCUGAUUUAUACCUGCAAAGAACCUUACAUCUCAGAACCUUAUCUUGAACAUAAAACCCAGGCAUCACCAUGAUUUUAACUCGGCUCGAACCGUGUGACUUUUGCCUAUCCAUCAACAUAUCUUCCAUGUAAUGUGCAUCAAAGCUUCUAUUAUCUUCGACCCUCAAGAUUCCCAAUGGUGGAUUGAAUGAAAAUGCAAGCAAAUGAAGUAACCAAAUGCAUUUAGCUGCAACAAAGAAAGCCUGCAGCAAUUGCUCAGGCCAUGGCCUAGUCCAAUUCAGUGUCGUGAUAAUGCAACUCAUUUUUUGGUCGCAGAACUUGCUAAAUUCUUCACUAUAGAAUUUAGUCCCCUUCCUCAACACUUCAUUCCAGCUUAGAUUUCUUAGUGAAACAAACGACGCAAACUGUGCUUGGCGAUCUUGCUGUGGAUCUAAAAUCUUCGGUGAGCCAUUUUUCUGAAACACACAAUUCUCAAAGUCCUGGUAGAGUGAUUGGUUUAUCAUGGCUUCCAAGUGGUACAAAACAGCCUUGGAGUAUUUUGAACUUAGUGACAAUUUAUACGGUUGAAGCAGCACAUUCAAAUUAUCCAUUAGAGUGUGGUCCGUCUCUUCAAUCUGUGCAACAAGUGUCUUGCAAAAUUGCUUCACCGACAAUCUUGCUUCUGAAACAAUCUGCAAGAAACCUUCCACCAUUGCUUCUUCACUAACCGGCAUCAAACUCUCUCCAUUUCCAUCAAUAGACUUCCCUCUUCGGGGAAAAUUCCCAAGCUUUUCAUUAACUUGAUGAGAGUCCUUUGCAUGUGUUGCUGCUUGUCUCAAGGCUUUCUUCAGCUCUUCACAAUAAGCCUCCAAGUACUCCAGCUUUUGCCUUAGCUCCCCAAAUGAAGAUCUCAUCUCUGAAACUUCCAUUAAUGCUGCGUCUCUACUCUCAUUUGCUUCCAUAAGUUCCCUCUUCAAUGUCUCUAUUGACAAUAUCCCCAAGUCCUUAAAAACCUGUGAAACUUCCUCGGAUUCUGUCCGGUUAGGGGAGUUUUCACUCUUGUGCUUCUUCUUUAACCGCGGAAACAACCAUGACAGCACUCCCCCACGACUCUUAGGCUGCGAGUGAACCAUUGAAUGAGAGUCUGUCAAGGGCACAACAAUGUUAGAACUCCUGAUGCUUCUAACGACAUUUUCGGAUUCACUUGUUAUAACUGCCGGCUUGCAUCUAUUGCAAGAGGAUACUGAUUUGAAGUCCCCCAAGCUGUUUCUUCUGCUUGACUUGUAAACUUCAGUUCCUGGUGAUGUUUGUAGCACAGUGAUGUGGUUUGUGCAGGAACCAGUAACUGAUUUUUGGUCAUCAGCUGGGCAGAAAUGGGACUCGAAACUGGCCAAACCAGAAGGCAAUCCUUUCUUUGAAGAUAAAAUUUCUUUCUUAUAAUCAGAUAAAGUUGAUUCAUUGCCAUUGCCUCCAUCCAAUGCAUACUCAUCCCAGGUUCCCGAUGGAUUCUUUGAGUGAAUCUGAUGAUACCCGGUUACUGGUUCAUCUUCAUAACUCUGUCAAAAAUUCCCCAAAAUCUCAAUAUAAAAUCCAACUACAUGAGAAAGCUAGAACAAAAUUGAAAGCAUAGCAUGUUAAAAAAUGGCCUAUAUUAUCCCAUCACGGUAAAAAAUCAAGAAAAUGCACAUGAGAUUAAAAUUAAAAUAAGUAGAAAUUUAAAAGAAUGAGCAUGUUAGUUUAUACAGAAUACAAUAUACAUUGACAAAACGAAAGGGCAUAUUAAUAUCACAACAAAACAAAUUUCUGGUUUUUAUUUAUUCAAUCGCUGCCAACUACUAAAGUACCUAAAAAAUUCCUUUUGUUACAGAAUCUUUUCAAAAUAUUAGACCACAAAUGGAGUAGCAACAACAGAAAAAACAUUCCGUUUCAAUAAAUAACAUAAAGGUAAUUAAAAAAGAUUACAACUUGUUUUAAAAAAAUAAGAAAAUAAACAAAACUUACAGGAGUGAAAACAGGGUAAUCAUGAGCAGAGAACUGAGAAACAGGGCGAGAAACCGGGGAAGUAGAAGAAGAAUUGAAUCUGUUAUUAGCAGCAGGGCUAUUUCCUUGCAUCAGAGCUGAAUGAAGGGCUCUGAGCUCCACUGCUUUAGCAAUGGCAGCUUGUAUUUCUUGUCUGCUAACUUCAUUAUUAUUGUUGUUUUCGUUGCCACUGUCGUGAUUUUGAAAGAUUUGUGUAGCAGUAGUUGCCGCAGCCAUGAACAGAGCAUAAAACAGAGUUGCACAUAAACAAAAUAAUACACAACAGAGAAUAGAACAAAGUAUGCGACUAGAUAUUGUUGUAAAAUUUGGGUAUCCAACGGUUGGAUGUGAUUCGCAGAGAUUAAGAUGAUAUCCACUGUUAGAAUCUUGGAGAGCCAGAAAAUUGUGAGAGAUGGGGAAAUGAAUAAGAAAAUGGAAAUGAAAAUGAAUGUGAGGUAUAUAUGUAAACUCCAAUGAACUUUUCUUUUGUCUUUGUCUUCAAGGAAUUAAUAGAAUGAGAGCAUGUGAGUAAGAAAGAGAGAGAAGUUUCAAAAUGGAUUAAUAGAAUGACAGCAUGUGAAGGAAAAGAGAGAGGGAACAAUUCAUGGCUUUGCCAGUUUCCUAAAAUGCCCAUGAAUUUUUCUAAAACUAAAUUUCUUGGACCACCCUAGCCUUUCAAGAAAUAUCGAGAGGUUUCAAAACUUUUUGAUUAUAAGUUGUGAUAUGACCGUGAAUUGAAUCCUAGACUUUUUGUAGUACCUAAAAAGGAAAAAGUUCUUGUAGAUUGAGAGUAAUGUGCAUUCGGGGUUUCGAAGACUCACAAAAUCUUAUUAGUAAAACAAAUCUUUUUACACUCACCAUUAAUAAUAAUAGAAAAUGAUCAUUUUCAAAUAGCAACAAGAAGUGAUGGCGGUACCACUUAGAAACAUGAUUGCUCAAGUAUUAUAACAAGAUGGUUCCACUAUAAAAUCAUUAUUUAUACCAACAGUUUUUGUUGGUGGUGUUGUUCUCAUUAUUGCAUUGAUUUGAAGUUGUUAUCAUACAUGUGUAAUCAUCAUAAUUGAUCAUAUAAGUAUGCUGCCAUCUGAGGGCACGCUCUAGCCCCACAUUGAUUAGACUAUUUGUUUAGAAAUAGUAAAUAAACAUGAUAUUAUUUCUAUUGUAAAAAGUUGUGUUCACAAUCAUAGUCUUCACUUGAAUUUUCUUUCCUUCAUUUGCAUUUUCAAUGGAGUCUAAGCUGUAAAUCCAUAUGAAGAAUAGACAAAUGCGGAUCACAAGUAAAAAGAAAACAUUUGACUGGUGUUAAGCUUGACUUUAGUUUUUAACGUUGAAUAACAUUGUAUUAGAGUUAUAAUUCUAUGCUAUAAAUUCCUUCAACUCAUUCAAUUUAUUGACGACUUCAUCUCGGUUUCAAUUUCAUCAAAGACAUGUAUUUUGAUUUAAGUCAGAUUUCAUUGAAUUCUCAUUCGACAUUAGAGACCUAUUAGACCUAACUAAAACGCAACAUUUUUCUUGAAUUCUACCUAAGGUUUUGAUAGCGGCUGCUUCUCAAUUGCAAUUUCAAAACCAAACUUUGAAUUAACACUAACAUAGUGCAUGCUCCUGUGGAAAAUUCACGCAGUUGAUUUCAAAGUGGUUAAAAGCCAUGCAAUUGAUGUUCACUGUGAAAGUUGAGCUAAUUUAUUGUUUAAAAUUUUUCAAAAUCUAAUAAAUAAAUGGUUCACUUUUUAGUAAGCAAAGAAGAAAAGAAUAGAAAAGAAAAAGUUGCUAUAAUUACUCCAUUACAUUGGACCUUUGAAGGUAGAAUUUAGAGGUUCUUAGGGUAGUUUUGUCCAAAGAGAGUUGCCCCAAGGUUGCGGGCUUGCGGAUUCUGCCGAAAGGAAAUCAGGUGGGGGACAGACAUGUCCGAUAGCUUCCACAUACUCACUGUCUUUCCCUUUUCUCUGAGUUGUGAAUCUAGUGAGAAAUAAUGCCAUUGUGGGGACCAUAAAAAUUAAUCUUAGUACAAUUUUUUCUUUUUUGUUUUAAUUUAGCUUAACGGUUGUAACUAACAUAAACUUUGACCACUUAUACUGCGCUUAGUGUCAGUAACAACGCUACAGAGUUAUAGACUCCGGAUAUGCAGAGUAAAUAUAAAUAUAGACAUCCCUAAAAGCAACAGUAUGUGAGUCACGAGACAGAUGAAUAAAUAAAAAUACUAGAUUAAAUAAAAAGAGCAAAAGAAUAGCUAAUUAAGAUGAGAUUUAAUCGGUCACAGCUGAAAGUUUUUAUAAAUAGAAAUAUUGAAUAAUUUGAAAGAGAUUUGAACUUAAAUUCUCAGGGGAGAAUAUGUCCAUUCUCCCCUAAUUAAGAUUACUUUUUUUUUUUUAGUAUUUUCCAAGGAACCAUAUGCUAAUUUGAGCGAUGAAAUUCUUUUUAUAGGUACCAAAUUGACACUAGAAGUUGUGGGAGUUUGAAGAUAAGGACAAAAUUGUCAUUUUUUGAUAUCGAAGGAAUUUUGCUUCUUCAACAAUAAUCUAAUCCCCUUCCAUCUAUACGAGCAUAGUUGAAAUAUCAUACUUCUUAUUUUCAACACAAGCUUCAACAUUAAUCUAAUCCCCUUCCAUCUAUAGGAGCAUAGUUGAAAUAUCAUAUUUCCUAUUAGUAAUUCUAAAAAAAAAAAAAAUUCACGUAGUUAGCUACUUCCAGUGACGUUAAAACUUAGAUGAGAAUUUCAAUCCAAGCGACAUUGGGGGUUAAAUGGAGAUUAUUGAAAGAAGUAGGGCUUUUUUGAAGUAACCAAUUAUGUAUUAAAUAUUUCAACUAUGUAAUAGUUUUUGUUGUUUGUUUAUUUCAGAUGGAAUUCCAGGUAGGAUUGUUGAAAUGUUAAUUUAGUAUACGAAGUUUGCUUUUCCCCAUCAUCGCUUUUGUUUUUGUAAAAAAAUUAUUAAUAAUAAAAACCAUUAUAAUAUUGAGAUUAAUUUUCUGAUCCAACCACCCCAUCAAAAAGCUUACUAAGGUUUUGUCAACCUCCACAUGCAAAAAGUGCUGUUAAUUUCUUGUUUAAUCGAUAAGAUAAUGACUAUAAUAAGUUUAAAUUAAGCAUAGUGAUCAUAGCAGGUUUGAUGUUGCACAAAGUUUAGAAUCUAAGCAGCUAUAAGCUGUCUAGUAAUUAGCCAUGACUCCUGCAAAGAUAAGGCUUGGAACCCAACAAAAGAAUUAGGUUCCAUUCUUUUGACGAUUUACGAAAAAAAAAGUCAAAAAAAAAAAUUUUUAGUAUUCAUAUUGUUCGGUGAAAAUUUUGUUCAUACUAAAUUUUAUCUUAUUAUGAUCAGAUCAAAGAGAUGAAUCAAAAUUAUUAUUGAGCACUAAAUGAAUAGUUUGUAUUUUUUGAUUUUUUUUUAUUCUCUCACCUAACAACUAUUUAUUCAGAGCUCAACAAAAAAAUUAGCUCAAUAAUAAAUCUUUAUUCUUGAAAUAUUUGUAAUGUUAACAAUGAAAUGCAAAUGAUUUUCAAUAAAAUGCAAUACUAUGCUUAUGAUAUCUGAUGUUUUACUAAUCAAAUUAAGACCGAACUUAAUGCCGUGACUCUAUCAUGUUGAAUCUAAAACCUAGAAAGAAGAAUAAUUUAUUUCAUAUUUUACUUUAACAAUUUAAUACAGACCGUAUUAAUGGUUUAGGAUAGGGCCUCACAAUCAUUUGUCCAUUUCAUUUCUUAGAAUCAAAGGCUUCUUAGAGGACAGGCUUGACUCUUCAUACUGCAAAAGUGAUUGAGGGUGGAGCUUACACAGUAUAUCACAUCUUGAUCCUUGAGAAUUUAGAACAUGAAAAUAAAGUAUAUAUCUUUUCUUGUGAUUGGUUACUAAUAAAAAUUUUAAAACAAUUAAUAUUUGACAAGGCGGAAACAUUGAAAGUAGAUUAAUAUAAGAAAUAAAGGUUUGUGAAUAAUGAUAAGUUUUAUUGAAAAAUCUAAAUGAGUAAAACUAUGGUUUUGAGCUCCUUUUAUAAUAAGUUUAGAUAUCCUGAAUUUACUAAAAUAGUUAAAUUCAAAAUAUAAUAUGAUAAUUAAAUUCUCCUAAUUAAAAUAAUAAAAUAAAAAUAAACAGCACUCAAACUUGAAUUCCAAAAAAAAGAUAAAAAUCUUUAAAAAAAACAAGGAAAAAUAGGAAAAAAAAUCCUAAAACUAGGAAAUGAUCAGGGAAAAAGUAGAAUUUCUAGCUUGAUCCUGGGGCAGAACAACACAAGUAGUUCUGAGUUAGAUUUGUCUUGUCGCAAGCUUUAAAACAACAUAUUAUACUUAAAAAGGGGAUGCCUGAGGCCUGUGGCUCAAGUUAUGGCCUUCAGAAGAUACCCUACUUGUAAUACACAAUUACCAUACAUCAAUAUCAAUCAUAAUGUAAUAAUGAUAAUUAUGAGAAAAUCGAGAUCUCCAUGAUAACAAGCUUGUUACCUCAAUAUUACAGCAAAAAUGCAAAACCCAGUAAUCAUGCAAUCCUUAGAUGGAUAUUUCUCAUCCUUUAUGAGAAAAUGAUUAAUUUAGAUUCAGACUUGAGAUUUUUAUACUAUUGUAACUAUCAUUGAUUAGAUAAAAAAUAAUAUUUAAUUAAAUCUUAACUAUAAACCACUAUAAAUUUUUGCGUGAUAGAAAAUAAUAAUAAAAAAACUCAGCUCAUAUCUUUAAUACUUUUAGAAGAAUAUCACCGGGUAAAAGCCUAUUUAGUCUCUGUAUUUUAAGAUUAGUGUCCAUUUAGUCCCCGCAUUUUUAAAAAUAUCUCGAAACAUUCAUAUUGUUCAAGUAUUGAUGCCCCUACCCACGUUAAUAUGUUGAUAUUUAGCAAACCUGACCAGAAUUAAUUCUAUUCUAUUAUAACACAACUCAGAGGUCUAAACCUAUUUUUCUUAUCAUGUCUACUUCAUUUGCCUUUUUCAAGGGAUAGGUGAUAUUCGGGUAAAAGUUCAUUUAGUCCCUAUAUUUUAAUAUUAAUGUCUAUAUAGUUUUCGUAUUUUUAAAAAUACCUCGAAAUAUCAUUGAUGUUAAAGCAUUGAUACCCCUACCGUUACUUUUUAUUUUUUUUGGCUUAUUUUUACAAUAUUACCCUUUUAUAAUAUUUUUUUUGUUUGGACAUUAAUAAAAAGAAAAUAAUUAAAUUACCAAUUUAACCCUAAAAAUAAAAAAUAUAAAAUUAUAUUAAUUUUUAAUUGUCAAAAAUUGUAUGCAAACUAUCAAGUGUGCAAAUGGUGCUUGCAAAAAAAUUAAUAUAAAUUUUUUAUUUUUUAGGGUUAAAUUGGUAAUUUAAUUAUUUUAUUUUUAUUAAUCCAAACAAAAAAAAUAUUAUAAAAGGGUAAUAUUGUAAAAAUAAGCCAAAAAAAAUAAAAAGUAACGGUAGGGGUAUCAAUGCUUUAACAUCAAUGAUAUUUCGAGGUAUUUUUAAAAAUACGAAAACUAUAUAGACAUUAAUAUUAAAAUAUAGGGACUAAAUGAACUUUUACCCGAAUAUCACCUAUCCCUUGAAAAAGGCAAAUGAAGUAGACAUGAUAAGAAAAAUAGGUUUAGACCUCUGAGUUGUGUUAUAAUAGAAUAGAAUUAAUUCUGGUCAGGUUUGCUAAAUAUCAACAUAUUAACGUUAUUAUUUUAUUGAAAAAACACAAUAUUUUCUUCGAAAUUGGGUCCCUUAGAAGCAAAUGAACAUUGCCACCAUCGUUUGUAUUUUUGCCUCGUGUCUUCCAAUUGAUACUGAUCAUAUAUUAUUUUAGGAGAAACCUGCGGUGCAACUGUGGUACCGUGCCACAGUUGCAUCCAACCGUUAGAUGCUAAUGGAUUCCAUCAAUUCAAGUACAUCCAAUAAUUAGAUGUAAUUGUGGUACGGUACCACAGUUACACCGUAGCCUGAUCCAUUAUUGUAAUACAAAAAUCCUACAAAAGUUAAGAACAAUCUCCAGUCUUUGGUUAAUAUUUUGUUCAAUCCUUUUUUUUUAGUUUCCCCAGACAGGUGUUCCAAAAAAAAAAAAUAAUAAUUCUCCAAAGAGAAUAUUUAUAUUUUCAUGAUUGUAGCUUUAUGUUUGUAUACACAUAAGUAGUGAAUGCUCAUCAUUUUCAUUUUACAGCUUUAUGUUCUUGCACAGAGAUUGAUUGUCUGUCCCUUUCUUUCGUACCGAAGAGAAUAAAGCAGCGAAAAUACUGCAACAAAAUCCAAGCAAAAAUACUGCAAAGCAUUAAGCGUGCGUGUUUUAUUUCUUUUUAUUUUCUUGUAUUAUUAUUUAUCUCAAAAAAUAAAUUAUUUUUAAAUUGAAAAAAAAGAAAGCAAGAAUAAAGUGUUUCUGUUUGCCAAGUUAGGAGUAUUUUUUAAAGUGAAAGUAGAAAGAAUGAAUACUCAUGCAUGCUUGGCUUACUCCUCGUAUAACGUUUGGAUUUUGGCUUGGCUUGGUUGUUUGCUCGUGCUAAAAGAUUAUUCCUUUUGUUAAAUGUAUGUGUAUGCUAUUGCGUAUAAAGAGUCAGAUUCAAUACCCACGAAAGUAACGAAAGAGGAAUUUUCAAUAAAUACAACGACUAAAUAGAUCAUUGUCUUAGCCAUAAUUGUGAGGAAAGUGGUUCGCGCCCCCGCAGACGCAUUGCAGGGGUUUAAUUUAAAUAUCUUUAUUUGAGGCCUUAGAGCUUGAGUGAAGACAGUCUUUCUCAUAAAAUGAGAGUUGGGCAUUCCUCGAAUAUUUGAGAGGGUUAAAAAUCUGAGCGGUGUCAUAUCAGAAUUGAUGUAAACGGGUCUUAGUAAUUUAUAUGGUGUAAAUAUCAUGAACAAUAAUUCUUUAAAAAAAAAAAAGAUCAUUGUCUUAAAUUUUCGGGACUAAAGAAUAUUUACUUAAUAUCUGUGACAACAUACCAUAUUUUUUUUUUCUUAUAGCCCCAUUGUCGUUUCAUAUUAGUUGAAAUAGACUUCGUGCUCAAGUUGAGACAAAUGAGAGCCCACUGUCGUUAGUGCAUUCACGUUCUUAAUUUUGAGUUCAUUUUGUAAGAUAUAUUAAUUGUUUUUGUGACGAACGUCGUUGGAGUUUGCUCUUCAAUUCAUAGUGAGCUAUAAUAUUCGAGUUACCUAAUACAAUCGAACUAAUAUAAAUAGAAUCUCUAGAGCAAGACUAAUUAAAUUCAAUUUAGUACUCUAGAAACAAAACCCAAUAAUUGUAAGAGGAAUCUAUGUCCCAUAAAACAGCAGCACAGAUAAUUAGUAAUACGAUGUUAAAGAACGAUAUUUUCUUUUGAAAUAUCAAAGCUCUUAAACCAAUUAGUGCAUGCAUGAUAAAAUUGACAUCCAUGUUUUAGCCCAUCGACUAAUUUAAGUCGAUAAAUCAUCUCACAAUUAGAGGCCUUCUCCUUCCCCACUUUUCGACAACAAUAUUUUUCGCGUUGCUUCAAGAAGUAUAGGGAGUUGUUUCUUCGAUUGUUGAACCCAAGAAGAAUGUCGAAUUGUAUCUCUUCAAUAUCAACUUAUCUAAUUGCAAAAACAUGCACGCUCACAGUUUGUCAUGCUUAAUUUUCCGAAAUAAUAUCAUUUCCAACAUCCUUGAGGGUGAUUAAUUACUAAGUAUUGGAUAUGAUUGACGAUGUUAAGAUUUAUUUUAUACUUAUUCUCACCUCUUCGUCUCAUCGCUAAGGUUGAGGGUUUGAAUUAGUUUACAUCGAGGCAGUUCAAAACAAACUUUAUGCUCGGGCUUCAAAGUGAAUUAUAUUGAGACACGGCUCUCCUUAAUAUGAAAAUAGAUUUUCGAAUUGAUUUGCUUACUCUUGAUUUGAACUUCAACUGAACUACAUCAAGGCAGGGGGCUAGAGUCUCCUUUAUUAAGCAUACUUCCCAAUAAAAUUUCAAUUGCGCUACAUCAUUAGAAUCCCAACGUAUUUAAUACAACCAUUAGUAUACUUGUAAUAUACUUGGAAACGGAGAAACUAUAUAUAUGAAAACUAUCACAUCAAGCUUUUAGAUCCAGCACUUUCUUUAACGCAUAGACCAUUUAUAUUUAUUUAGAAGGCUAAUGCAUGGUCUAUUUGGUUAUUGUGAUUAGACGCUCGAGGUUGAUUAGUUGUUGCUUGAUACAAAUUAAUUAUUUCAUUGUCGUUUUGGAGCCACUUGUGUGUGUUAGGACAUUCGAAUAGGACAAAUAAAUCAUAUUCAAUGAACCCCAAGGAAGCAGCCAGUGAUACAAAAAUCAAAUAUGAAUAUUACACAUUUUUUAAAGUAGAGAUUAUCCUCCGACCACUUACAACAAUAUAGAAAUUGUAAAUAGUAAUUAUAAAUUUUUUACGAUAUCUUAAAACUACCUUAAAUUUUAAUUUUAAUUUAAUUAAUUAUUUUCUAUUAAUUACAUUAGUCACUAUUAAAGAAUCUAAGAUAAAUAAAUAAUUUUAAAUCACCACCUAAAAUAUAGUUUUAUCUUCUUAAAUAAAUGUAGGGACAGAACAAAUCCGACGUUCUCCAGCAUUUGAAGAUAAGAACACCUUCAUUAUGUAAUAAAACUACUUCAAAAUUUUUUGUAAUAAUUUCAAUCUAUCAUUAAAAUAAUAUUUUUGUCCCUUCUGAUUCAGUUAUAAACUAAUUAUCGAUUGUUUAUUGAGUUUUCGUUCAAGGGUAGGAACUAGGAAUCUAAAUGAUAAUUUUUUUUUUUUAAUUUUUUUGUCUGACAUGGAUGAGAAAAUGACAAAUUAAUUGAGUCCAUGACGAUAAGAGAUUAACUCACGAGUGUUGCAAAACAGCAACCUCCCUAAAAUUUUGACUUUUGUCAAAAAUUGAGUACCGCGUGGGACCUUGGGGUGAUAAUGCUCUGGUUGCAACUAAUCUGCAAAUUACUAAAUUACUAAAUUACCCGAAUAUUUCAACUAAUUUGCAAGUUUGCCAAUCCAAAUAUGCAAUGCAGUGCGCAGUAGAGAAAGAAAAAGACUUGUCGCUGUUUGCAAUUAGCCAAAUAUACAAAAGAAUCAUAAAAUUGAAUUUAAUAAUUCCAAAAAUUGUUCACUAAUUAAUUUACACAGAAAAUUCAAUAAGGAACAAUGGUCUCGAAACAGUUGACCCCAUCGAGCUCCAGCGCAAACCUCGGCAGCUUCGUCUUGGUUUGUUUCUGCUGCGUCAUCAUAUUAGCGUCGUUCGGCGUCGGUUUCCGUGGCGUUGACGUUGACCUGCCACCGUCUUCGUUUUUCUUCAUAAUACGAUCAUUAACAACGUUAUUGUUGUUGUUGCCGCUGUCUUUUGGCUUAGAUAACUUCAGUUUCUGGCCGUACGAUUCGGGGAAGAAGGCAUCGAACGAGCUGAAAAUCGACAUCAUCGUCGUUAAAUUAACUUUGAUGAGAGAAACUACCGAAUGAUUUGCCUUGAAUAUGAAUUUUAUAGCUUUUGAAAUCUCCGAAUCCGAUGAUGAAAAGAUUUCCCAAGAGUGGGGGUAUUUAUAUUUCAUAAUCAAUCAUAUAAUUCAUAGCGGAGGGAAAAUAACUGGAAACAACUGGGAGGACAGUGAGUUAACGGGAAACGAACUGGAAGGUGCGGAAUGUGGAGUACGUGUCAUGUUAUUAUUGGAGAUAUGACUCGACGUGGCGGGCGGCAAGUCAAUUGUGGAUGGACCGGGAGGGACUCUGUCAGCGCAUUUCUUUGACUAAAGCUUUCGGAAACAACUUUAAUUCAAUGUAUUAGGCUCAGCAAGUGGACGCAGUUGAUGUGCCAAAUUGUAAUCGUUUUCCUCGUUAGAGUAAUGCGAUAUUAUGUAUUUGGGAUUUAUAGUGUGUAUUGCAGCAUUCAACCAAACCUUAAUCACAUUAAUGAGGGGUGCGGUUUGGUUCGGUUUUGCUUAAAAACCAAAUCGUCGAGCCGAACCGUUCAAAAAUACAUGAAUCGAGUACGAACUGAACUUCUUUCUUUAAGCCUGAUUCGGUUUAGGUUGGAUCGGUUUUAAAUAAUUCGGUUUAUGAAAUUUAAUAUUUUAUUUUAUUAUUAGCCAAAUUUUUAUACUUUUCACCUAAAUUUGAUUAUUUUUUAGUUCAAUUUAAUUGUAAUCACGAAUCAAAUAUGUUUUAUGUAAAAAUACUAAUAAAAAAUAUUAUUGUACAUAUAAAUUAAU
rnacentral:lncRNA from 1 species